CUUUCUCUUGUGCAUGCACAUGCCCGCAUCCCUCUCACCCUCCCUCAGCAUUCUCUAGCUCCAUCGCGUAAAUUCGUGUUUUCACUUUAGGUCGUUCACCCACGGUGUGUGUAGGCCCCCAGCUCCUUCUUUACGGCACACAUCGAUCGAUAUGCCUCUCUAGCCAGGUGUGCCUAGCACAAACACAAGCUUCCCCUCUUCUCUUGUCACCGUCCAUGCCUCACUCCCACCACUCUUUUCAUCGUUCUCGUACUCGCACACUCCUCCCCCUUGAUAUAGUAUGCCUCUCGUACCACCUCCUACAUGCAUCACUCUCUCUCUAUCCUUCUGCUCGUGCCUCAUUUGCUUCUAACACACACAUGCAUGUAUACCGAUCGAUCUCCCAACAUAUACCUAGAUCGACUUUAAGUAACCCUCCCCCCAUCGAUCGACGUACCUCACAAGUUAUGUCUCUCCUUUCUCUUACAAAGGGCGAUUGAUCUUCCUAUGUAGUUACGUCUGCUUACCACAACCACAUCGUCCCCCUCAUCAUUCGUGCAUGCCUCCUGACCCGUCUCUCACACGCACGUGCACAGACAACAAGCAGCCAUCUCCUCUCUUAUUGAUAUUGCGGGCGUGCCCACCGUUUGUCUAGCAAGCCUAUCCCACCAUUUGUUAGAAGCAACUCCACUACCACCCCCUCCAACACUCUAGCUCUGUCUCUCUCCCAACCUUAUUCAUCUCCUGCACAUAUGCAUGGAUGCCGAUCGAUCUCCCUUAAUACAUGAGGCAGAUCGAUCUCCUUAAUACAUGAGGUAGGCCUCUCUCCUCCUCCACACAUAUACCAGCCAUUGUACCUCUAUAGUUAAUUGGGCCUCCCUCUUCCCCCACCACACACCGAUAGUCGAGCGCUGCAGGUAGGUAUCCAUGCCACAAAGACAAACUGCACAUGUCCCAUCUCACAUUCCAGUAGGCCAGCCACUCUAUAUAUUUGACGUGGGCACACACAAAUUCGAUGGCACUCUUUAUCGAUCGCGCGCACACACACACACACACACAUCAUCCCUCUCUUCGAUUCUAUAGACACCUCAAGCCGAUGAUAACUCCACUCUCUUCUCAUGGAUCGCCCCCUCUAUAUAUAUGUUAUAUCCAGGACUCUAUUUCACNNNNNNNNNNNNNNNNNNNNNNNNNNNNNNNNNNNNNNNNNNNNNNNNNNNNNNNNNNNNNNNNNNNNNNNNNNNNNNNNNNNNNNNNNNNNNNNNNNNNNNNNNNNNNNNNNNNNNNNNNNNNNNNNNNNNNNNNNNNNNNNNNNNNNNNNNNNNNNNNNNNNNNNNNNNNNNNNNNNNNNNNNNNNNNNNNNNNNNNNNNNNNNNNNNNNNNNNNNNNNNNNNNNNNNNNNNNNNNNNNNNNNNNNNNNNNNNNNNNNNNNNNNNNNNNNNNNNNNNNNNNNNNNNNNNNNNNNNNNNNNNNNNNNNNNNNNNNNNNNNNNNNNNNNNNNNNNNNNNNNNNNNNUCACACAACCCCACGUAGGUGGUGUACGUAUACAAGAAGAGAAUAGGUGCACCGUGCACGUACUCACGCUUCGUGCCCAGCCACACCCGCGCGGGUACACGGUUGAGCUCAUUUCUUUACGAAAUGGCAGCCCACAUGCUAAUUUGAACGCCUGUAGCGGUUGUUUACCUAGGGAGGUCGUGUACCACGCGUGCACGAAACAAAGUUCGACUUGACGCGUUGCUGCGUUAUUUUUAAAUAAAGUUAUAGCGCUCAAUGGCACAUACACAGAAUAUAAAACGAUUUUUAUGGAGGAAAAGGUAGUCCGCUCUUCAUAGUAUCUCACACAAGGCUCCGGUGGCCUCUCUCUCUCUCUCACCGUUGGUCACUGAUCCGGCCGCAUCCCGUCCACCGGGGGAAAGGGAGUGCGGUGGCCUCUCUCUCUCACCGCUGGUCACUGAUCCGGCUGCAUCCCGUCCACCGGGGGAAAGGGAGUGCGGUGGCCUCUCUCUCUCUCACCGUUGGUCACUGAUUCGGUCGCAUCCUGUUCGCCGGGGGAAAGGAAGGAAGUGCAUCGUUUCUCCGUUCGACAUCGCCGAGGCAGCACGUCCCGAUCUGCGGUACACGCCGUUCUCUCUGACCAAGCUUCGGCGCGGCAGGGCCUACGCCACCUACUCGCAGAUUCCGCCCGCUGCCGCUCACCUAGUUACAUCCCGACGACCUCCAGGUAUCCCCUCCGGCCUUGCUCCACUGCCCGUUUUCCCACGUCGCUGCAUGUGGAUCUUCCAUAGUUCUUUGUCCAAAACGUAGCUCGUCCGGUGUACUUUCCAUAUUGCAUUCUCGUCCUCACACCGUUUUAGACAAACACAACCGUGUUGUUAUCUUCCCUUAGGACAAGGAAUAUGCUUCUUUUUUGUCGUCGCAUGUGUCAUCAACUGUUAUUGGCCAGUAAUUGUUUCCUUUCUACCUCUUUUUUGCAAACAGUGCUAUCCAUUUCACCUCGUUGCUAUUGCGACCUUUUGGUGAACUGCACAAAACACUUUUUUCUUAAGAGUGUUUUGUGCAGUUGUACUAAAAUGUCACACGGGCAACGUCUCUACAUUUCAGUGCGACUGCACAAAGGGAGAUUGGUUUUGCUCUAUCCUCCUCAUCCAACUCCGAGCCUAAUCUUCUCCAACUAGUUAGUCUUAAGAGAGACCGCAAAGGUGACCGGCUUCUAUUUGUGUGUUUAUUGUUUCAUUAGCAGUCCUCUAUUAUCGUAAUCACACUUGAUAUCUUUGGAACAGGGAUGCUCAGCUCUAUUUUAGUGGAACUGCACAAAAUGAUCGGAAUGUUGCAUGCUCCAGACAGCUACUUUUUUUCCCAACAUGCCUUGUUGAUUUAGAUAGAGCUGGGGGGACGUUGCUGCCAAUGAAAGCAUGGAUCAAUUUUAAUUUAACACCUUCUCACAACUUUGUCUUCAGUUGUGAUGUAAUUAUUAGCUCUGAUUUGCUAAUAAUUGACAUGCAUUAGCAAGGAAGUUAGUUUUUUAUUGUUUCCGAAAGAGCACCGAUGGCAAGACACGCGAAACAAAAGUUGAAAGCUCACACCAUUGUACAAUUUCAUGUCGCCGGAAAAUUAUUUGUAUAGUACGUCAAUUAUGUAAACAAAUGAUGGAAGCUUGAUAGCAUUGCCAGAAGCCUCUUCAUCAUCCGGGUCCAUGUGCCAUGCACGAAAUUAUACUCCUUCGUUCCUAAAUAUUUGUCUUUUUACAAAUUUCAAACAGGCAUAUUUUAGAGUGUAGAUUCACUCAUUUUGCUUCGUAUGUGUACUCCCUCCAUUCCUAAAUAUUCUAUUCGUCUUAACAGAGAUUUCAACAUAUUUUAGAAAGACAAAUACUCCGGAGUAUAUUUAAGAACCGAGGGGGUAGUGCACAACCGCAUGGGAGACUCAGCCCGGUCGUUGCGCCACAUUAAUAGUGAGUAAUGAGAAGUCAAAUCAUAAGCCCCACCUUUCCCACUGUAAGUUGCUCUGAAGAAGCAACCAUCAAUACGCUCUUCUUUGAAUCUUCUCAUACUACUCCAUCCAUCACUGUUUAUACAGCGCGCUUCAGAAAAAAGAAAAAAAUCUGUGGGACCAAGGCGACUAGCGAUCGGCCUGAAAAAUAGCAUUGGUAGUUAUAGCACGGCGUCUAUUACUAGAGGGAAUAAUGCGUACACACAUGCAUGCAGUGCUUCCACCCCGGGUACACACAUGCAUGCACUCCGUAGUAGUACAGUACAUGGAGAGAAAAUUGUGGACUUGAUUGCGGUUACCACACCCUAAUUAAUUGAGCAUUAAACCAAACACGUCUAAAGUCUCUCUGGUGGUGGAAAUGCAUUGAAAGAAAUGCAUCAUAAUGAAGCGCACCCUGUAAACUGUGACGGAGGGUGGAGUAGUAUGAAGGUGCAAACCAAGUACGCGUACUAGUACUGCGCUUGGCUCUUCGCCCCUUCGUGGAGUCGAACAAUGAUGGUACUCCGCAUGUUGGGUACUACAGUGUAUGCCUCUGACAAUUUGACACCGAAUGGACUGAUGCAUGUCCACCGAGGGUAGGUUGCAUUAGUCAAAAGGCGUAAGCGAGCUUCACCUUGUCCUGCAAGCUUCUCCUCGUUCUGCGAGUUGACGGGACACACCAAAAAGUACUGCUAGUCCAUACUCCCUCCUUUCUGGUUAAUAUGGCUUAAUCUUUUUGCGGGUAAAUGAGAGAGCUUUAUUCAUAUAUAAGCAUUCUUAGGACGAUCGGCCAAGACACUGGUCACUAGGAAGCCAAAAAAAGAAGUAGGAAGCGAGGUGUUUCAUCAAGCCAGCUCUCGGCCACAUUCAAAGUGCAGCAAGCACGGUUUGCACGAAGAUGCGCCGCAAGGUUUGCUGACCUGUUUACAUGCUGAAUAACAAAAAAAGAGGAAAUAUUACUGAGCGUUACUAUUUGUAACAGGAUAUGAGCCAGAAUUAAGCGAGAAUUAUGGCGAGUGUUCCAUGCAAUCAACUUCCAUUAUCACAUGCGAGAACCCUCAAAGAGAACCAAAUAUGUUGAAGAUUGCUUUAUCACAUUUUAAAAUUAUAAUAAGAGUGCACACGCUCCUCCAUCUGGUUCCUAGUAGUAUAGUGUAGUAUGCUUCUGGCAAUCUGACACCGAAUUAACUGUUGCACGUCCACCGCCUAAGCAAGGGAGAGCUUGCAUUAGUCAAAAGUUUCUCUUUGUCCUGUGAGCCACCGCGCGCAAGCUUCUCCCGUCCUGCAACCUUCUCCUCGUUCGGCAAGUUGACGGGACACAACAAAGUAAUGCUAGUCCAUGCUGCCUCCUCUCCGGUUAACAUGGCUUAAUUUCAAACGAGAUAAAUACACUGUCUGUCACUGUAUAUUUGUAAAAAUACGGUCAGUGGACUUCAUAAUACGCUCAUUGCGCUCAAUAUAUAUAUUUUCCGGUGUUCAUAUGGUCACUAGCUCACCCUGAUUGCGUAUGUGUGUGCAUGCACGUGUAGGUUGAGCACUUGAGCGUCACCGUGUGUGUUCCGUCAUGUGCUCGGACAUGCAUGCAUUAGGGUGUCGCGCGCGUUUUUGCGUCCAUGUGUACGUUUGACUGUCGCAUACACGUAGGGGGAGUACGUGUAGGGGCCCCUAAGGAGCAGUCAAAUCACACAGUAAGUUAGUCGGAAGAAGCAACCAUCAUUUCACUCUUGAAUGGCACGUACGCAAGAUAAAAUGGUUGAUAUGGAGAGAAAAAGAAAACCACUAUACUCCAGCAGGGUGCGUGUGAAAGACGGGUCAGGAGGUGAAUGACAUGUGGCCCCAGGGGGUGGCUGGCCCACCUAUUAUACAGCCAAAGGCAGGUGUAGUAGAGGGCCGAGGAGUAGUACGAAAUCCUACGCACCUACGCAGGCUAGCCAAGGGCUGAGUGAUCACUCGAAUCGCAAGAUCAAUUGACUAGAAGCUACGCUAGACCCAUGGAGGCGAUGAGCGCGAGCAUCAGCCGGCUGUGCCAGAUGGUCCACGACGCCGGCCUGCGGCCCGGCGGGUAGUAUUGCUUGAGGCCGCCAGGGCGAGGGGCCGCUUGGACGACAGCUUCGCAUCCUUGUUCGACGAGGUCCUCGUUGGUUUCCUCAACAAGUUCACUGUCGUCAAGAAGCUUGCGGACGACUUUGACGUAAGCCUCCAGCCGAUGCGCCCAAGCUCUGCGAUGCCCGCCACCCUCAACGGCCACUAUGGUAACAACCUCUUCGACGCACUGGUGGCCCUGCGACUGCCCGCCGUCGUGCCGGAGAAUGUCCACCUCGAGGUCGCGCUCGCCGCGCAGCGCCUGGCACAGCAAGACACCAUCGACAUAAUCACCCACGUCUACGCGCAAAUCAUCCACAAGGACUAGUACAUGCAAGAGGAGGACGAUAGGACACUGGCCUUCUUGGAGCGCAGGGCAACCUUGGACGACAUUGUUCAGAAGCACGUUGAGCUCGCCGCCAACGCCGCUGCUCCUCACACGUCGGUUGGUGACCCGGCGCACUAGGGCGUGAGGAUGUCGUUGAACGUUGAUGGAUCCGUAUGUAUUUUUAUCCUUCCGUCAAAUCCAUGUAGUAGUAUAUGAUACUAUAGUAAUUAUCUUACGUUUUGCAUCAACUUCAUAAUUUUCGUACGUACUCCAUGCAUGAACGGCGCCAGAAGCAAACUUCUCAUUACUCUAGGCAAAAUCGUUAUUUUCUAUCUAUCGGUCGCGCCAUGGAGCAGAACCAAAUUUUACAAGUUACGGGUUCAAAAGGAAAAGCCUGCCGUGUUCGCGUCGCACCCCCACACGGUUGGUCUGGCAUGCCGCUCAAGCGGGAAUGCGUGCGGUGUUGCAUUUUCACUUACAAGUGGGACCGCAGUUGAGCAAACUGACUAUCGGCAAACCCCCACCCCGCCCACCGCGCGAUGGCUGAGAAAAGAGGACAGGAGGGAGAAGAGAUGGUUGUAGCACGGACUCGAAGAAAAUUGGUGUCGGAUGGGACUCGUGUGGGUGGCGUGUGCCGUACUGCUAGACGUGAAUGCUAGUUAUGGCCCAUGCCACCCCACUAUAUCGAGCCUAUACCGAGGUACGUAAAACAAAUUUCCUACAGUCCAUGCUCAGCCCUCCUCUAUCUCUCUUCUCAGCCAGCCAGCGGACGCGCUGAGCCCAUCGUCUGUUUGCUCACAUGCGGCCCCACAUGUUAGUGAAAACGCAAGAGGACCCACUGAACCUGCACAUCUUUCACCUCGACGUGCUGGUGAUGAAAAACAAAUCCAAUAAAGAUCUUCGGUGGCCGCUUUUGGAGUUACUCAAGAGUAGUAAGAUUCUAUUUACAGUUUAACCCAAGAUGCACAUCUCGUGGCUUCAACUACCACUCUAUUUUCUUUUAUGACACGACCUGGAUGCUGGAUGUCCCACGUGUCGGCAAAAGGAGGAAGAACCUGACCAAAUCUUCGGUUCUGCUCUCGGAUUAGACUAGUUGUGCUAACUUAAAAGUUUUAUUGUGUACUCCCUCCGUUCCAAAAUACUUGACUUCCAUUUGUCCAAAAAUGGAUGUACCUAUAUACUAAGACAUGUCUAGAUACAUAUAUAUUUUGACAAAUAGAAGGCAUGUAGUAUUGUGCAACGGAGGGAGUAGAAUGGAUGUAAGUUUUUGUAUUGGGAAGAAGAGUACAUCCAUAUAUUGACAGAGCGCAAUUUAGUAGAUGUUCUAUCACUUUUAGCUAGUAUAGAAUAGAGGCUAGACAUGAGACUAGAUGCGAGGAAGCAACGUCUACUUCUUUACACUCGAAGAAGAAAGAAGCACGCAAGAUCGAGCCUCCGCAGAUCAACAAUGAAUGCAUCGAGAAGGCACUAAUCCAACUUACUACAGGAGUAGUCAAAAUUAUCGUUGGAGUUCGUGCAAAAUGGAGGUCCGUUUGGGGUCGUGCGUUGGAGGUGGCCUUACAAGUGGGAACGCAGUUAAGGAAACCGACUGUCGGCAAACCCCCACCUCGCCCGCCGCGCGAUGGCUGAAGUUAGAGAAACAACGAGGUUGAAGAGAUUGCUCUCGCACGGACUCCAAGAAAUAAUAUGGUGUCAGAUGGAUGUCGUGGUGGUGGCGUGUGCCGUACUCCUGGACGUGAAUGCUUGUUCUGGCCCAUGCCACCCUACUACUCCUACUACUUACUCCUACUAUAUACUAUACUACUAGUAUAUCGAGGAUUCGAGGUGUUGAUUACGUACAACGAACACAUUAACAUAUGGCUACAGUAAAAACACCCGCCCGACGCGCGAAGCAUGUGAAGCUAGUACAAAUAGUGUACUACUAUUGUUGAUUGACCUCAUCCGAUAACCUGUUCUAAUGCACGUACAAUUAUGUAUUCAUAAAAUAUUUUUUUGCCUCAUCGCACCACUCAAUCAGAGAAGCGACUCGAAAGCCAUUCAUAAAUUUAGUAAGUUUAUCACAGGCAUAUCAUUUUAUUACAUAGUACAACAGGUCAUCAACCCACAUCGACAACGAGGAUACAUUAUAAAUACUAAAGUUUUCACCACACAACAAAUAACAAGCCAUGAAAUGAACUUCAACUCAACCAUUCCGCGGCGUUGGAAACGCUUGCUUUGAACCACAAGUGAUUCUCUGGGACGGGCCAUCCGUUGUCGAUCUGGAGACCAACGCAGGACUGAUCAUCCAGGCUGAAGCGGCCUACUAUAUCAGUACCAGGGUAGGGAACCACCCAAAUGUCCGAGGUAUAGACACAGUUGCUUCUCAUAAAUGUGUCAACAGUAGUUGGAUCGCCUUUCACCAUCAUCGGAUAGUUUUGUCCAAGGAAGAGUGAGUUUUCUCCAAGACUAUCAAUUCUGUGCCAGGGAGAAGGAGUUGGCGCUAGCACCCUAGUAUCCAUCCCGAAUACCAUGCAACGGGUGUUGGAAUAGGUCCGGAGAGUGCGACCAUGGGAGACUACACCUGCUUCCUUAGCAGUAACAUCAUCAGUGGGCUGUAUACACACAAGAAGAGGUGAUCCAUCGGAAUUAGUUGCCAGGCGCCACAGAGUAUAUCGGCGCUGCUCGUCCUCAUGCUCGUGAUCAUCACCAUCGUCAUCUCCCCCUUGGUUAUAAAAAUCUUCAAGUAUAGGUGGUGGGAUGUUCACAGGACCUUGGAAACACAAGAAGAAGGUUAAUUAGUAAAUGGAAACUUGCUAAGCCGCAUGCAUGUGGAUGAAACAAUUAUAAUUACGGUGGAAGACAAACGUACCGAAACAACGAGGAUGCCAUGCAAAAACAGUGCCACGAGUGGUGGCAGCAAACACAAGGCCCUCGUAUUCAAUUGCAUCACAGUAGUCAUCCGUGUACAGAAACUGAUUUUUGAGCAAUAUCCAUCGAGUGAAACCAUCAAGGAGGGCAACAAGCUUGUCGAAGAUAGCAACAACAUCAUAGUUUUUGUAAUUCCAAGAGCGGCUGGGAACUCGACAAAUUGAUAUCUUCGUAGACGACAGUCACCAUGAUCAUAUUUGAACGUGCGUACAUUACCGGUGUGCUCAACCUCUGGGCAGUGUGCUGAGGUUUUUGGAAGUGGAACCCGGUGACGAGUGUACACAUUCACAAGUUCCCACUUGCAGUUGGACCCAAUGUAAACAACCCAAUCUCCAUUUGCGCCCGCCCAAGCCUUGCCCUCAAGCGAUGGCAUCUUAACAUCACACGUAUCAUUAUCAAGCGGCAUCAACUUGCACAGGGCGAGGCCUCCGUCGUGCCGGCGCCAGUCAUCAGGGUCACGGCGAAGAAGAUAGGGGAGAUCAAACCACUCCUUGAACCUUGGGUUCCUUGCAAUGAUGUUAUUAGUUGAGUCGAGAAUGGGCUGGAACGAACUUGCCAUGCUAGCCGAGGUGAUGACGUCGCACCGAUCAAUGAGUUCCUCCACCACGUCAUCUUUCAGAUCGGGGCAAGAAUAACAAGGUCGUUUCCGGCUUGUUCCCUCCAUGGAGAAGACGAUUGAACAAUGGCAGAAGAAAGGGUGAAGGGCUGAAGGAAAAUGGAGGAGGGAGAGGAAGAGCAUGCGACAGCAGUUCCAAAUCGAGAGGGAAAGGCGAAGAGUCGGUGGACGGUUGUGAGUUUGCCACGGUUCACGAAGAGGUGCCCCGGCCUACACGUCCGUUCGGAAAUACUCCUACUACUCGCCGUCGUCUCACUGAUAUGUUGGAAUGGGACCACAUGUCAACGAAACAUGGUGUGUAACUUCUCGUGCAAAAUGCGAGUUGGCCGCGUUGGCCCGAGGUGCCGCAUUAGUUAUCGACCUUUAUUUUUUUAAUGGCGUGCCGAUCAGUUUUGAAGCACGACUAACUAGUACUGUACGCAGAGAAAAUAUAAACUACUCUACCACUACCCCACCUCCAGUACUAGUAGUAUAAAAAAGAUAUAUAUAUAGGCUGGAGCUUCAGCACUUUCUUGCUAAGGGCUGCCCACUUGCUUCUCACACUACCACCCUCUCUCCAGAUCUAAAAAAUACGGCCCCUCUCUCCCUCCUCACCGGUGGUCACAGAUCCACCGGGGAAGAAAAGGACGUGCAGCAUUGACGCACUCGUCGGCGGCGAGCGAGGUCACGCACUGACGACAAUGCCGUCCUCUCAGACCUAGCGACCGCGCGGGAUGGCCUCCGUCCCCAAGCUCGCUGCCGUAGUGUGUGCGGAGGACGACGACCAUGAGCGAAGCCACUUCCCACCGACCCUCGGGUAUGCUACCUCUUUUCGAGCCAUAACCUUGUUCUAUUGCCCCAUCUGUUACGUCGUUGCAUGUGGAUCUUUUUCCACUCCACCAUCUUCCCAAUUUGCUAUCCUCUACUCUGCUAGCCACGCAGACGAAAACCAUAAUUUGCACUAUUAAAGGAAACCCUACUUCAUGCAGACUAAUCCAUGUCUGGGUUGAAUAAGGAAAGGAAGGGAGACUGUACUGUCCAAGAGAGUAGGCAUCAAACCCGCAUCUAGGCUGAAAAGGGGAAAAAUCAGUAGCUAAGGAACGAGUCUCGUGUCUCUUGGUUGAAGAAGGGUAGAAAGGCAUGACAACGCAAUAGAGAAUGACCAGGUCGAUCGGUUUGUUGUCCUCGCAUAGGAAAAAGGUGGCUAAAGAGAACAAAAAUGGGACCGUAAUCCACAUAUGUUGCCUGGAUAUUUGUUGCUCUGGGCAACCAUACCUCCCUCACCACUCUGCGCCCAUGGAGGUACAUCAUACUGGUGCCUCCCAUGCUCUUAUUGCCACUUUCUUUGCUGUUAGUAUAACACUAGCAAUCAAGUCAAGCAAUGCUACUGCUAAAGUGAUGCCACAUUUAACUAAUGCCGCUCUCAGUCUAAUGCCACCCAUAAAUUUAAGCAAUACCAUUUAAUGUCACUGGAUUAUUUCAGGGUUAGCUGUUGAUUGUGGAUGUAUUAAAGAUUUUUCAGCUAUAAGGCAUUCUAAUGCUGUUGCACAGCCAGUAUACCAACGAUGAAACUUGUUACUCCCGUCAGAUUUUUGCACUGUUAAUGCUUAUAGAUUACAUACCUCACUUUCAUGAGAUAAGUUAAUUUUUUUGUACAGUGUCACCAAAAUGCCAAGGCGCUGAUGUCAUUUUAUUUUGGUUAAACUGCACAGACAAUUAUGAAGACAAGAGGAAAGGUCAAGAGUGGGCACCUCCUCCUCCGGCUAUUCUCUUGAGGAGGUCUGUAUGUUUGUCUCUAAUGCCUAUCAACUACAUACCUGACAUCAUAAUGUAAUGUUAAGUCAUUUCCUUUUGUACAGUGUCACUGAAUUGUCAAGGCGGUGAUGGCAUUUUAUUUUAGUAGAACUGCACAAAAUUUGCUUAAAAGAAGAGGAAAGGUCAGGAAUGGCUCACUUUUCUAGAAAAAACUAUGUAUGCCUUCCUCACAUCAGCCGAUGUUGCUUUAUUUAUUCCUUCAAACAGGUGGUUAGAAACAGUCUUGCUACCUUUUCCCAUUAAGAAAUUGUAAUGCUUAUAUUUGUGAGUCUAUGCUUCAACUAGUGCCACUUUUAGAGUAAUCACACUUUCAAUAUCUAUGCAAACAGGGAUGCUCGAUUUUAGUGGAACUGCACAAAAAGUCCAACUGGUUCAACAUUAGGAGCAUGUUUUUUUCUCAACCUUUAUAUCCAAUUGGUGGCACUAUGAGCUGCUCAUUAUGAAGGUGCAUGGUUUGCUACUAUCUUGCUACUCUUUUUGUACUACCAUUAGAUAGUAAUACUAGUGGUUUGCAUGUGAAUUUAUUGGCAGGGUGGACCUACAUUGGAGGUGCAGGACAAGAUUCAAUGAUUGGAUGCUCAAUUUCGGUUGUAUCGAUUUCACCUCUUCCAUCACUGUGAACAUGGAUAUCCUUGUUCUGAUGAAGAAUAGGCGCUAUAUUUCUGCUCUGAACCAGCAAAUCAAUUCAGUAUGAAAUUGUCCAGGGCAAAACAUAACUGUAUCAGAUUGUCCAGUGCAGAACAUGACAGAUGCUAAGCGGAAGAGACAUGUUUAAACCGAAAAUACAAGGUGUGGUAUAUGUUUACUAGCUGCUUGAUAUUUGUGCAGAUGGAGAUGUCUGCCCGUUGCUAUUUGGCAAACCAACAAAGUGCCCGCAAUUUUGGUUGAACUGCAUAAGAGAAUAGUAUAGUCACUGCAUGCAGUGCCAUUUGAAAAUAGACACAGAAAGAUUGGAUAGUCACUUCAUGGACUGCAGAAAAGUAGUACUGUACUAUUUAUUGGCCAACACUAGGUGCUUCAUUGCUUUGGUCUGAUUAUACAAUGGACAUCAUUUUGCCUAAAUUAAAGUUUGCAUUCCGAAAGUAGUCUCGCAGUGUGAUCGAGGGAAGACCAAAUCAUAUUGCAGUGCAUGUUCCUCCAUCAUGUCUGGUUCAUUCUCAUGGUUCCAGCUGUUGGUGAAACCACUUAUGUUUGCAAGAGGAAUUGUAGACUUCACAAACAAAUUUGUCUUUCAGUCUGUACUGAAUGUUGGCCAAUAGAAGCAUCCAUGUUAGUAGGAAGAACAGAUGUUUUUUCUAGAUCUUUGCUUUUGGAGCUACAUAUUUGUAUAUGAUCUGUGAGUCAUUAAGAUGCAUUAACAUGUUGAUCUUAUGUAUGGGAAUCGUACUAGUUAGUUUUAGUUGCGACGCAAGAUCCGAAGUGGCUGAUCUUUGCUUUUGGAGCUACAUAUUUGUAUAUGAUCUGUGAAUCAUUGAGAUGCAUUAACAGUUACUUAUUUCUGUUCGCUCAGUGUUUACAAGUUACUGAUCGAUCACUAGCUAGCCUACAAAUGCGCUCCUGGCAGUUUUAUUUGCGAUGCAAGAUGCAAAGUGACAGUUUUUUGAAUAAAAAUGCCUACCUCUGAAGAAACUGACAAGCUCGUACGCAAGCAAGUGCCUCCUAUCGCACCUCUGGCAAGUCCGAGGCGAGGCGGAGGACGCCGGUGCUAGCGUUUAGCAUGGACAGCAGAUGGCGGCCGGCAUCGUCUAGUUAGCUAAGAGUAAGUUAGUACUUGUACGCUACUAGAGUGUUAGUGGGAGUAGAUAGUUAACUUGGCUAUGAUGGUUGUCAACGUGGAAGUUCAGUACUCUAUAUGUGGAUCAGACAUGUUACUUUGGUCUGAAUGUUGAACUUUCCGUUUGAACAUAUGGAAUGGGCUGUUAUUUUUUUAAAAGGGUUGUAUUUGUCCUCCACGGUUUAGAGGCUGACUUGUGGGCCUAGCAAGUUGACGCGUACACAAUCAGGAAAUGAUUGUACGUGGAGAGGAUGACAGCAGGGACCCGCUAAGGUCAUGGCAGUACACAAGCAAGUGCCUCCUUAUUUCAAGCCAAUAAAAAAAUGGCUCCUCCUAGUGGAUUUCUGACAUCUGGGUCCCAUGCCAUUGUCAACGUAGUCAAUAAACGAGAGAAUUGCACAACGAGCGGCUGACACCAGGGACCCAGCAGCUCACCUAGUUAUUUUUGUUUUGGGUUAAUUUGAUAAAUGCCACUCCAAAUCUGGUGUAUACGAGAAAUGCCACUGCAAUUUCCAAACUUUGAAAAAUGCCAUUUCAUGCCAUUUCUAGUGGCAUUUUUCGAAGUCUGGAAUGACGUUUUUCAAAGUUUGCAAACUGCGGUGGCGUUUUUCAAAGUUUGCAAAAAUUGCAGUGGCAUUUUUCAAAGUUUGGAAAUUGCAGUGGCAUUUUUAUGAAUCGCCAUAAUUGGAGUGGCAUUUAUCUAAUUUGUUUUGGAGACGGAAGUAGGGUGUCAACUGGGCUGUGCCGGACACUCUGGCCUGUCUAGACAGCCUUUUCUUUUAUGUUUACCACAGACCAGCCUAGUAGUUUUUUUUCUGAAAAUGGCUAGCCCAGUUUUUUUGUGAUUUGUCAAGUAAGUCGCUUUAUCAGGCCUGUUGGGCUGCAAAUCUUUCAAGACGAGGAGAGCUUCAUUCGACUGGCCGAGAAAAUGGCCUAUCAGUAAUGAGAAAUGGGUUGUACAUUUUUAAAACACAUCAAACCGGCAAUUAUUUUCAAAUAUCUUUUUUUUCAUUUCGAGAUUUUAAAUUGCAUUGAUUUUUAUGCGUGGACAAUUUAUUGGAUUUUAUAUUGAUAUACAUUUAUUUUUUAAAUCAGUCUGAAUGUGACUCAAAAUUUCGGGAUUAAAAACAGUUCAGACCGCACCGACAUACGCAAAAUUUCGUAUAAUUUUUUAACCGUGGCCACAAUAUGGGUUGUAAUGCUAACAUAAAGAAUAUGGGCUCCAAAAAACCCCAUAAGAAAUAGCAAAUGGGCUGUAAAUUAUUUGAAAUAAUGGCAGAUGGGCUGUAUGCUGUUUUCCACAGAUUUGAGGCUUUCCACAGAUGGCCUGUAUACUGUUGGAUGUCCAUCCCACGGCCUCGUGCUUCUUCAAUCUCUGCUCUUCCUGCUCCAGCCGCUCAAACAAGCGCCGACGGGACUGCCUGCUCGCUCCUUCCCGCGGCCGGUUGUGCUGCCGCGCAGGCCUCACCGCCCCAUCGUACUCCCAUCGCUGGCCAAGCCAUCCCUCUACUCACCCACACCUGCUGUUAUUCUCCAGCGACGGCAGAUGAACCAGUAAACCCUUAUACAGUCGUACUCCCCUCCGCGUGGGAAACAAAAACAACGGCCGAGUCUUCCCUGCCUCUGUGUCGUUCCCUUCAUAGGCCUCGCCGUCGUCCCCCGCCCUGGUGUUGGGUUUCGUAGUAAUUUCAAAAAAAUUCCUACGCACACGCAAGAUCAUGUGAUGCAUUGCAACGAGAGGGGAGAGUGUUGUCUACGUACCCACGUAGACCGACUGCGGAAGCGAUGACACAACAUAGAGGAAGUAGUCGUACGUCUUCAUGAUCCAACCGAUCAAGCACCGAAACUACGGCACCUCCAAGUUCGAGCACACGUUCAGCUCGAUGACGAUCCCCAGACUCCGAUCCAGCAAAGCGUCGGGGAAGAGUUCCGUCAGCACGACGGCGUGGUGACGAUCUUGAUGCACUACAGCAGCAGGGCUUCGCCUAAACUCCGCUACAGUAUUAUCGAGGACUAUGGUGGCAGGGGCACCGCACACGGCUAAGGAAUAGAUCACGUGGAUCAACUUGUGUGUUUCUGGGGUGCCUCUGCCUCAGUAUAUAAAGGACUAGAGGGGGGAGGCUGGCCGGCCAUAGGAGGCGCGCCAGGAGAGUCCUACUCCCUCUGGGAGUAGGAUCCCCCCCCCCAAUCCUAGUUGGAAUAGGACUCCUUGAGGGGGGGGAGAGAGAGAGGGGGGCCGGCCACGUCGUUGAAGUCCCGAUUCUAAGCCGUAAAGCAUGGCACACUGAACUAUCGAGUAGUCAUCAGCUUUGCUCUGCCAGACGUUCAUAACAUUCGGCGUUGCUCCUGCAGCAGGCCUGGCACCCAGCGGUGCUUCCAGGACGUAAUUCUUCUGUGCAGCAAUGAGGAUAAUCCUCAAGUUACGGACCAAGUCCGUGUAAUUGCUACCAUCAUCUUUCAACUUUGCUUUCUCAAGGAAUGCAUUAAAAUUCAACGGAACAACAGCACGAGCCAUCUAUCUACUAUCAAACAUAAACAAGCAAGAUACUAAUCAGGUACUAAGUUUCAUGAUAAAUUUAAGUUCAGUUAAUCAAGUUAAUUAAAGAACUCCCACUUAGAUAGACAUCCCUCUAAUCCUCUAAGUGAUUACGUGAUCCAAAUCAACUAAACCAUAACCGAUCAUCACGUGAGAUGAAGUAAUUUUCAAUGGUGAACAUCGUUAUGUUGAUCAUAUCUACUAUAUGAUUCACGCUCGACCUUUCGGUCUCCGUGUUCCGAGGCCAUAUCUGUAUAUGCUUGGCUCGUCAAGUAUAACCUGAGUAUUCUGCGUGUGCGACUGUUUUGCACCCGUUGUAUUUGAACGUAGAACCUAUCACACCCGAUCAUCACGUGGUGUCUCAGCACGAAGAACUUUCGCAACGGUGCAUACUCAGGGAGAACACUUCUUGAUAAUUUAGUGAGAGAUCAUCUUAUAAUGCUACCGUCAAUCAAAGCAAGAUAAGAUGCAUAAAAAGGAUAAACAUCACAUGCAAUCAAUAUAAGUGAUAUGAUAUGGCCAUCAUCAUCUUGUGCUUGUGAUCUCCAUCUCCGAAGCACCGUCGUGAUCACCAUCGUCAUCGGCGUGACACCUUGAUCUCCAUCGUAGCAUCGUUGUCGUCUCGCCAAGCUUAUGCUUCCACGACUAUCACUACCGCUUAGUAAUAAAGUAAAGCAUUACAUCGUGAUUUCAUUGCAUACAAUAAAGCGACAACCAUAUGGCUCCUGCCAGUUGCCGAUAACUCGGUUACAAAACAUGAUCAUCUCAUACAAUAAAAUUCAGCAUCAUGUCUUGACCAUAUCACAUCACAACAUGCCCUGCAAAAACAAGUUAGACGUCCUCUACUUUGUUGUUGCAAGUUUUACGUGGCUGCUACGGGCUUAAGCAAGAACCAAUCUCACCUACUCAUCAAAACCACAACGAUAGUUUGUCAAAUAGACUCCGUUUUAACCUUCGCAAGGACCGGGCGUAGCCAUACUCGGUUCAACUAAAGUUGGAGAGACAGUCGCCCGCAAGCCACCUAUGUGCAAAGCACGUCGGGGGAACCGGUCUCGCGUAAGCGUACGCGUAAGGUUGGUCCGGGUCGUCUCGUCCAACAAUGCCGCCGAACCAAAGUAUGACAUGUUGGUAGGCAGUAUGACUUAUAUCGCCCAUAACUUACUUGUGUUCUACUCAUGCAUAUAACAUCAACAUAAAUAACCUAGGCUCGGAUACCACUGUUGGGUUUCAUAGUAAUUUCAAAAAAUUUCAUACGCACACACAAGAUCAUGUGCAACGAGAGGGGAGAGUGUUGUCUAUGUACCCACGUAGACCGACUGCGGAAGCGAUGACAUAACGUAGAGGAAGUACUCGUAUGUCUUCACGAUCCAACCGAUCAAGCACCGAAACUACGGCACCUCCGAGUUCGAGCACACGUUCAGCUCGAUGACGAUCCCCGGACUCCGAUCCAGCAAAGCGUCGGGGAAGAGUUCCGUCAGCACGACGGCGUGGUGACGAUCUUGAUGCACUACAGCAGCAGGGCUUCGCCUAAACUCCGCUACAGUAUUAUCGAGGACUAUGGUGGCAGGGGGCACCGCACACGGCUAAGGAAUAGAUCACGUGGAUCAACUUGUGUGUUUCUGGGGUGCCUCUGCCUCAGUAUAUAAAGGACUAGAGGGGGGAGGCUGGCCGGCCAUAGGAGGCGCGCUAGGAGAGUCCUACUCCCUCUGGGAGUAGGAUUCCCCCCCCCCCAAUCCUAGUUGGAAUAGGACUCCUUGAGGGGGGAAAGAGAGAGAGGGGGGCCGGCCACCUCUCCUAGUCCUAAUAGGACUAGGGGAAGGGGGGAGGCGUGCGGCCACCUUUGGGCUGCCCAUUUCUCCUUUCCACUAAGGCCCAUCAAGGCCCAUAUGAUUUCCGGGGGGUUCCGGUAACCUCCCGGUACUCCGGUAAAAUCCCGAUUUCACCCGGAACACUUCCGAUAUCCAAACAUGGGCUUCCAAUAUAUCAAUCUUUAUGUCUCGACCAUUUCGAGACUCCUCGUCAUGUCCGUGAUAACAUCCGGGACUCCGAACAACCUUCGGUAUAUCAAAAUGCAUAAACUCAUAAUAUAACUGUCAUCGAAACCUUAAGCGUGCGGACCCUACGGGUUCGAGAACAAUGUAGACAUGACCGAGACACGUCUCCGGUCAAUAACCAAUAGCGGGACCUGGAUGCCCAUAUUGGCUCCUACAUAUUCUACGAAGAUCUUUAUCGGUCAGACCGCAUAACAACAUACGUUGUUCCCUUUGUCAUUGGUAUGUUACUUGCCCGAGAUUCGAUCGUCGGUAUUCCAAUACCUAGUUCAAUCUCGUUACCGGCAAGUCUCUUUACUCGUUCUGUAAUACAUCAUCCCGCAACUAACUCAUCUAGUUGCAAUGCUUGCAAGGCUUAAGUGAUGUGCAUUACCGAGAGGGCCCAGAGAUACCUCUCCGACAAUCGGAGUGACAAAUCCUAAUCUCGUAAUACACCAACCCAACAUCUACCUUUGGAGACACCUGUAAUGCUCCUUUAUAAUCACCCAGUUAUGUUGUGACGUUUGGUAGCACCCAAAGUGUUCCUCCAGCAAACGGGAGUUGCAUAAUCUCAUAGUCAUAGGAACAUGUAUAAGUCAUGAAGAAAGCAAUAGCAACACACUAAACGAUCGGGUGCUAAGCUAAUGGAAUGGGUCAUGUCAAUCAGAUCAUUCAACUAAUGGUGUGACCUCAUUAAUCAAAUAACAACUCUUUGUUCAUGGUUAGGAAACAUAACCAUCUUUGAUUAACGAGCUAGUCAAGUAGAGGCAUACUAGUGACACUCUGCUUGUCUAUGUAUUCACACAUGUAUUAUGUUUCCGGUUAAUACAAUUCUAGCAUGAAUAAUAAACAUUUAUCAUGAUUAUAAGGAAAUAAAUAAUAACUUUAUUAUUGCCUCUAGGGCAUAUUUCCUUCAGUCUCCCACUUGCACUAGAGUCAAUAAUCUAGAUUACACAAUAAUGAUUCUAACACCCAUGGAGCCUUGGUGUUGAUCAUGUUUUGCUCGUGGAAGAGGCUUAGUCAGCGGGUCUGCAACAUUCAGAUCCGUAUGUAUCUUGCAAAUUUCUAUGUCUCCCACUUGGACUAAAUCCCGAAUGGAAUUGAAGCGUCUCUUGAUGUGCUUGGUACUCUUGUGAAAUCUGGAUUCCUUUACCAAGGCAAUUGCACCAGUAUUGUCACAAAAGAUUUUCAUUGGACCCGAUGCACUAGGUAUGACACCUAGAUCGGAUAUGAACUCCUUUAUCCAGACUCCUUGAUUUGCUACUUCCGAAGCAGCUAUGUACUCCGCUUCACAUGUAGAUCCCGCCACGAUGCUUUGUUUAGAACUGCACCAACUGACAGCUACACCGUUUAAUGUAAACACGUAUCCGGUUUGCGAUUUAGAAUCGUCCGGAUCAGUGUCAAAGCUUGCAUCAACAUAACCAUUUACGAUGAGCUCUUUGUCACCUCCAUAUACGAUAAACAUAUCCUUAGUUCUUUUUAGGUACUUCAGGAUGUUCUUGACCACUGUCCAGUGAUCCACUCUUGGAUAACUUUGGUACCUCCCUGCUAGACUUAUAGCAAGGCACACAUCAGGUCUGGUACACAGCAUUGCAUACAUGAUAGAUCCUAUUGCUGAUGCAUAGGGAAUAUCUUUCAUAUUCUCUCUAUCUUCUGCAGUGGUCGGGCAUUGAGUCUUACUCAAUUUCACACCUUGUAACACAGGCAAGAAUCCUUUCUUUGCUUGAUCCAUUUUCUUCAAAAUUUUGUCAAGGUAUGUUGUUUGUGAAAGUCCAAUUAAGCGUCUUGAUAUAUCUCUAUAAAUCUUAAUGCCUAAUAUGUAAGCAGCUUCACCGAGGUCUUUCAUUGAAAAACUCUUAUUCAAGUAUCCUUUUAUGCUAUCCAGAAAUUCUAUAUCAUUUCCAAUCAACAAUAUGUCAUCCACAUAUAAUAUCAGAAAUGCUACAGAGCUCCCACUCACUUUCUUGUAAAUACAGGCUUCUCCAAAAGUCUGUAUAAAACCAAAUGCUUUGAUCACACUAUCAAAACGUUUAUUCCAACUCCGAGAGGCUUGCACCAGUCCAUAAAUGGAUCGCUGGAGCUUGCACACUUUGUUAGCUCCCUUUGGAUCGACAAAACCUUCUGGUUGCAUCAUAUACAACUCUUCUUCCAGAAAUCCAUUCAGGAAUGCAGUUUUGACAUCCAUCUGCCAAAUUUCAUAAUCAUAAAAUGUGGCAAUUGCUAACAUGAUUCGGACAGACUUAAGCAUCGCUACGGGUGAGAAGGUCUCAUCGUAGUCAAUCCCUUGAACUUGCCGAAAACCUUUUGCAACAAGUCGAGCUUUGUAGACAGUAAUAUUACCAUCAGCGUCAGUCUUCUUUUUGAAGAUCCAUUUAUUCUCAAUUGCUUGCCGAUCAUCAGGCAAGUCAACCAAAGUCCACACUUUGUUCUCAUACAUGGAUCCCAUCUCAGAUUUCAUGGCUUCAAGCCACUUUGCGGAAUCUGGGCUCACCAUCGCUUCUUCAUAGUUCGUAGGUUCAUCAUGAUCUAAUAACAUGACUUCCAGAACAGGACUACCAUACCACUCUGGUGCGGAUCUUACUCUGGUUGAUCUACGAGGUUCAGUAGUAUCUUGUUCUGAAGUUUCAUGAUCAUCAUCAUUAGCUUCCUCACUGACUGGUGUAGGUGUCGCAGAAACAGUUUUCUGUGAUGUACUACUUUCCAAUAAGGGAGUAGGUACAGUUACCUCGUCAAGUUCUACUUUCCUCCCACUCACUUCUUUCGAGAGAAACUCCUUCUCCAGAAAGUUUCAGAAUUUAGCAACAAAAGUCUUGCCUUCGGAUCUGUGAUAGAAGGUGUAUCCAAUAGUUUCCUUUGGAUAUCCUAUGAAGACACAUUUCUCCGAUUUGGGUUCGAGCUUAUCAGGUUGAAGCUUUUUCACAUAAGCAUCGCAGCCCCAAACUUUUAGAAACGACAACUUUGGUUUCUUGCCAAACCACAGUUCAUAAGGCGACGUCUCAACGGAUUUGGAUGGUGCCCUAUUUAACGUGAAUGCGGCCGUCUCUAGAGCGUAUCCCCAAAACGAUAGCGGUAAAUCAGUAAGAGACAUCAUAGAUCACACCAUAUCCAGUAAAGUACGAUUACGACGUUCGGACACACCAUUACACUGAGGUGUUCCGGGUGGCGUGAGUUGCGAAACUAUUCCACAAUUUUUCAAAUGUACACCAAACUCGUAACUCAAAUAUUCUCCUCCACGAUCAGAUCGUAGAAACUUUAUUUUCUUGUUACGAUGAUUUUCAACUUCACUCUGAAAUUCUUUGAACUUUUCAAAUGUUUCAGACUUAUGUUUCAUUAAGUAGAUAUACCCAUAUCUGCUUAAAUCAUCUGUGAAGGUGAGAAAAUAACAAUAUCCGCCAUGAGCCUCAAUAUUCAUCGGACCACAUACAUCUGUAUGUAUGAUUUCCAACAAAUCUGUUGCUCUCUCCAUAGUACCGGAGAACGGCGUUUUGGUCAUCUUGCCUAUAAGGCACGGUUCGCAAGUACCAAGUGAUUCAUAAUCAAGUGGUUCCAAAAGUCCAUCAGAAUGGAGUUUCUUCAUGCGCUUUACACCGAUAUGACCUAAACGGUAGUGCCACAAAUAAGUCGCACUAUCAUUAUCAACUCUGCAUCUUUUGGCUUCAACAUUAUGAAUAUGUGUGUUACUACUAUCGAGAUCCAACAAGAAUAGACCACUCUUCAAGGGUGCAUGACCAUAAAAGAUAUUACUCAUAUAAAUAGAACAACCAUUAUUCUCUGAUUUAAAUGAAUAACUGUCUCGCAUCAAACAAGAUCCAGAUAUAAUGUUCAUGCUUAACGCUGGCACCAAAUAACAAUUAUUUAGGUCUAAUACUAAUCCCGAAGGUAGAUGUAGAGGUAGCGUGCCGACUGCGAUCACAUCGACUUUGGAACUGUUACCCACGCGCAUCGUCACCUCGUCCUUAACCAACCUUCGCUUGAUCCGUAGUCCCUAUUUCGAGUUGCAAAUAUUAGCAACAGAACCAGUAUCAAAUACCCAGGUGCUACUGCGAGCAUUAGUAAGGUACACAUCAAUAACAUGUAUAUCACAUAUACCUUUGUUCACCUUGCCAUCCUUCUUAUCCGCCAAAUACUUGGGGCAGUUCCGCUUCCAGUGACCAGUCUGCUUGCAAUAGAAGCACUCAGUUUUAGGCUUAGGUCCAGGUUUGGGUUUCUUCUCUUGAGUAGCAACUUGCUUGCCGCUCUUUUUGAAGUUCCCCUUCUUCUUCCCUUUGCCCUUUUUCUUGAAACUAGUGGUCUUGUUGACCAUCAACACUUGAUGCUCCUUCUUGAUUUCUACCUCCGCAGCUUUCAGCAUCGCGAAGAGCUCGGGAAUAGUCUUGUUCAUCCCUUGCAUAUUAUAGUUCAUCACGAAGCUCUUGUAGCUUGGUGGCAGUGAUUGAAGAAUUCUGUCAGUGACGCUAUCAUCUGGAAGAUUAACUCCCAAUUGAAUCAAGUGAUUAUUAUACCCAGACAUUUUGAGUAUAUGCUCACUGACAGAACUGUUCUCCUCCAUCUUGCAGCUAUAGAACUUAUUGGAGACUUCAUAUCUCUCAAUCCGGGCAUUUGCUUGAAAUAUUAACUUCAACUCCUGGAACAUCUCAUAUGCUCCAUGACGUUCAAAACGUCGUUGAAGUCCCGAUUCUAAGCCGUAAAGCAUGGCACACUGUACUAUCGAGUAGUCAUCAGCUUUGCUCUGCCAGACGUUCAUAACAUCCGGCGUUGCUCCUGCAGCAGGCCUGGCACCCGGCGGUGCUUCCAGGACGUAAUUCUUCUGUGCAGCAAUGAGGAUAAUCCUCAAGUUACGGACCCAGUCCGUGUAAUUGCUACCAUUAUCUUUCAACUUUGCUUUCUCAAGGAACGCAUUAAAAUUCAACGGAACAACAGCACGAGCCAUCUAUCUACUAUCAAACAUAAAUAAGCAAGAUACUAAUCAGGUACUAAGUUUCAUGAUAAAUUUAAGUUCAGUUAAUCAAGUUAAUUAAAGAACUCCCACUUAGAUAGACAUCCCUCUAAUCCUCUAAGUGAUUACGUGAUCCAAAUCAACUAAACCAUAACCGAUCAUCACGUGAGAUGGAGUAGUUUUCAAUGGUGAACAUCGUUAUGUUGAUCAUAUCUACUAUAUGAUUCACGCUCGACCUUUCGGUCUCCGUGUUCCGAGGCCAUAUCUGUAUAUGCUUGGCUCGUCAAGUAUAACAUGAGUAUUCCGCGUAUGCAACUGUUUUGCACCCGUUGUAUUUGAACGUAGAACCUAUCACACCCGAUCAUCACGUGGUGUCUCAGCACGAAGAACUUUCGCAACGGUGCAUACUCAGGGAGAACACUUCUUGAUAAUUUAGUGAGAGAUCAUCUUAUAAUGCUACCGUCAAUCAAAGCAAGAUAAGAUGCAUAAAAAGGAUAAACAUCACAUGCAAUCAAUAUAAGUGAUAUGAUAUGGCCAUCAUCAUCUUGUGCUUGUGAUCUCCAUCUCCGAAGCACCGUCGUGAUCACCAUCGUCACCGGCGUGACACCUUGAUCUCCAUCGUAGCAUCGUUGUCGUCUCACCAAGCUUAUGCUUCCAUGACUAUCACUACCGCUUAGUAAUAAAGUAAAGCAUUACAUCUGAUUUCAUUGCAUACAAUAAAGCGACAACCAUAUGGCUCCUGCCAGUUGCCGAUAACUCGGUUACAAAACAUGAUCAUCUCAUACAAUAAAAUUCAGCAUCAUGUCUUGACCAUAUCACAUCACAACAUGCCCUGCAAAAACAAGUUAGACGUCCUCUACUUUGUUGUUGCAAGUUUUACGUGGCUGCUACGGGCUUAAGCAAGAAAAAAUCUCACCUACGCAUUAAAACCACAACGAUAAUUUGUCAAAUAGACUCCGUUUUAACCUUCGCAAGGACCGGGCGUAGCCAUACUCGGUUCAACUAAAGUUGGAGAGACAGUCGCCCGCAAGCCACCUAUGUGCAAAGCACGUCGGGGGAACCGGUCUCGCGUAAGCGUACGCGUAAGGUUGGUCCGAGUCGUCUCGUCCAACAAUGCCGUCGAACCAAAGUAUGACAUGCUGGUAGGCAGUAUGACUUAUAUCGCCCACAACUUACUUGUGAUCUACUCGUGCAUAUAACAUCAACAUAAAUAACCUAGGCUCUGAUACCACUAUUGGGUUUCGUAGUAAUUUCAAAAAAAAUCCUAUGCACACGCAAGAUCAUGUGAUGCAUUGCAACGAGAGGGGAGAGUGUUGUCUACGUACCCACGCAGACCGACUGCGGAAACGAUGACACAACAUAGAGGAAGUAGUCGUACAUCUUCACGAUCCAACCGAUCAAGCACCGAAACUACGGCACCUCCGAGUUCAAGCACACGUUCAGCUCGAUGACGAUCCCCGGACUCCGAUCCAGCAAAGCGUCGGGGAAGAGUUCUGUCAGCACGACGGCGUGGUGACGAUCUUGAUGCACUACAGUAGCAGGGCUUCGCCUAAACUCCGCUACAGUAUUAUCGAGGACUAUGGUGGCAGGGGGCACCGCACACGGCUAAGGAAUAGAUCACGUGGAUCAACUUGUGUGUUUCUGGGGUGCCUCUGCCUCAGUAUAUAAAGGACUAGAGGGGGGAGGCUGGCCGGCCAUAGGAGGCGCGCCAGGAGAGUCCUACUCCCUCUGGGAGUAGGAUUCCCCCCCCCCCCAAUCCUAGUUGGAAUAGGACUCCUUGAGAGGGGAAAGAGAGAGAGGGGAGCCGGCCACCUCUCCUAGUCCUAAUAGGACUUGGGGAAGGGGGGAGGCGCGCGGCCACCUUUGGUCUGCCCCUUUCUCCUUUCCACUAAGGCCCAUCAAGGCCCAUAUGGUUCCCGGGGGGUUCCGGUAAACUCCCGGUACUCCGGUAAAAUCCCGAUUUCACCCGGAACACUUUCGAUAUCCAAACAUAGGCUUCCAAUAUAUCAAUCUUUAUGUCUCGACCAUUUCGAGACUCCUCGUCAUGUCCGUGAUCACAUCCGGGACUCCGAACAACCUUCGGUAUAUCAAAAUGCAUAAACUCAUAAUAUAACUGUCAUCGAAACCUUAAGCGUGCGGACCCUACGGGUUCGAGAACAAUGUAGACAUGACCGAGACACGUCUCCGGUCAAUAACCAAUAGCAGGACCUGGAUGCCCAUAUUGGCUCCUACAUAUUCUAUGAAGAUCUUUAUCGGUCAGACCGCAUAACAACAUACGUUGUUCCCUUUGUCAUUGGUAUGUUACUUGCCCGAGAUUCGAUCGUCGGUAUUCCAAUACCUAGUUCAAUCUCGUUACCGACAAGUCUCUUUACUCGUUCUGUAAUACAUCAUCCCAUAACUAACUCAUCUAGUUGCAAUGCUUGCAAGGCUUAAGUGAUGUGCAUUACCGAGAGGGCCCGGAGAUACCUCUCCGACAAUCGGAGUGACAAAUCCUAAUCUCGAAAUACGCCAACCCAACAUCUACCUUUGGAAACACCUGUAAUGCUCCUUUAUAAUCACCCAGUUACGUUGUGAUGUUUGGUAGCACCCAAAGUGUUCCUCCGGCAAACGGGAGUUGCAUAAUCUCAUAGUCAUAGGAACAUGUAUAAGUCAUGAAGAAAGCAAUAGCAACACACUAAACGAUUGGGUGCUAAGCUAAUGGAAUGGGUCAUGUCAAUCAGAUCAUUCAACUAAUGACGUGACCUCGUUAAUCAAAUAACAACUCUUUGUUCAUGGUUAGGAAACAUAACCAUCUUUGAUUAACGAGCUAGUCAAGUAGAGGCAUACUAGUGACACUCUGUUUGUCUAUGUAUUCACACAUGUAUUAUGUUUCCGGUUAAUACAAUUCUAGCAUGAAUAAUAAACAUUUAUCAUGAUUAUAAGGAAAUAAAUAAUAACUUUAUUAUUGCCUCUAGGGCAUAUUUCCCUCACCUGGUGCUCUCGGCGUGGCGUGGUCAGCGUGGUCAACGCCCGACAUGCAUCUGAAGUGGACUGUACGUGGAGAGGCUGACAGCUGGGUCCACGACCGCAUGCAAGGAAAUGCCUCCUUAUUACGUGCAAAAUAAUGAUUUCCUCCACCUGACAUCUGGGACCCACCGAAGCGGCCUCUGUAUUUCGCGAAAAAAACGUUACCGCCAUUGACAGCUCGGACCCACCAGCUAUAUCUUCGCAUGCAAGGAAGUGCCUCCUUAUUACGCGAAAAAAAUGAAUACUCCCCCUGCUAGCUGGGACCUAGUAUAGUGGGCCUACUGAGUUGACGGGGACGAAGGGCUUUGUCAACUUAGUCAAUAUGCGCGAUUCUAGCUCGACUGACCGUAUGAUGUCCAUCCAACGGCCGUAGUGCUUCUUCAACCUCUGGUCUUCUUGCUCCAGCCGCCCAAACCAGCGCCGGUCGUGCCACCUGCUCCUGCCUCCCGUGGCCGGCUGUGAUGCCGCGGAGGCCUCACCGCCCCCAUACUACUCCCACCGCUGUCCAGGCCAUCCCUCCACUCCACUCACCCACACCCCCUGUUAUUCUGCGGCGACGGCAGCGCAGCCGAACCAGUGAACCCUCGUACUCCUCUUCGUGUGGGCAUCCACUGCCGCGUCUUCCCCGGCUCCGCGUCGUCCCCUUCCUAGGCCUCGCUGUUGUCCACCACCGUGGUGCUGUCGGCGCACCGUGGUCAACGACCGAAUUCCAUCGAAAGAAUACUGUACGUGGAGAGGCCGACAGCUGGGUCCACGGCAGCCGCACGGAAGUGCCUCCUUAUUACGCGGAAAAUAAUUAUUCCUCCACCUGACAGCAGGGACCCACCGGACGGGCCACCAGUAUUUUGCGAAAAAAUCGUUUCCCCCUGACUGAUGGGACCCAUCGGACGGGCCACCGUAUUUCACGAAAAAACAUUCCCCCCGCUGUCAGCUCGACCCACCGGAAGUGCCUCCUUAUUACGCACAAAAAAUGAAUACUCCCCCAGCUAGCUGGGACCCACCUUGCUGGAAGGCUGACUUGUGGGCCUACUAAGUUGACGGGGACGGAGGGCUUUGUAAACUUAGUCAAUAUGCACGAUUCUAGCUCCAGUGACCGUACGAUGUCCAUCCAACGGCCAUAGUGCUUCUUCAACCUCUGGUCUUCUUGCUCCAGCCGCCCAAAGCAGCGCCGGUCGUGCCGCCUGCUCCUGCCUUCCGUGGCCGGCUGUGCUGCAGCGGAGGCCUCACCGCCCCCUACUAUUCCCACCGCUGGCCAGGCCCUGCGACGAUGGCAGCCUCACACCGCAGCCGAACGAGUGAACCCUCAUACUCCUCUCCGCGUGGGCAUCCACUGCCGCGUCUUCACCGGCUCCGUGUCGUCCCCUUCCUAGGCCUCGCCGUCGUCCACCGCCCUGGUGCUCUCGGCGCGGCGUGGUCAACAUGGUCAAGGAACGACUUCCAUCGGACGUGGACUGUAUGUGGAGAGGCUGACAGCUGGGUCCACGGCGGCAGCAAGGAAGUGCCACCUUAUUACGCGAAAAAUAAUGAUUCCUCCACUUGACAGCAGGGACCCACCGGAUGGGCCACCGUAUUUCGCGAAAAAAAAACGUUUCCCCCCUGACUGCUGGGACCCACUAGCUACACCUUCGCACACAAGGAAGUGCCUGACAGUCGGGACCCACCUAGUCGAAGCGUACGUAGCGUUGUCAUUCUGGUCACGAACAUGUACGUACAUAUAUACUGGUGGAUGUAGAGGCGCGCACAUGUCGUAGUAGAGGCGCGCACGUUUCGUAGUAGAGGCGCGCACGUAGCAUGUACAUGUACGUACAACGGCCAGGGUUCAAGAAAGAAAAUACGGCCACGUAUGUGUACAUACGGGCGGGGUCUCGAACGCCUACUCGCGCAUACGUACGGCGAGGGCUCGUGUACAUGGCUGGGUCGGAACAGAGAAACAGCGUCAUCGUCGUGUUCAUGGGUCGGAACGGAAUGCGUGGUCGUGUUCAUCGGGAGGGCUUGGACGGAAGAGGCGAUGGAAACGAGGCCUAGCGUACCGCACAACGGAGGAAACAGACCUCCUACGGUCGAAACGGGGGUCCUGUUGAUCGAGAGGGGUGUGGCAUACCGCAAAACGGAGGAAACGGACCUCCUACGGUGGAAACGGGGGUCCUCUUGAUCGGGAGGGGUGUGGCGUAGCGCAAAAUGGAGGAAGCGGACCUCCUACGGUCGAAACGGGGGUCCUGUUGAUCGGGAGGGGUGUGGCAUACCGCAAAACGGAGGAAACGGACUUGUGUUGGAGCGCUACGGUCGAAACGGGGGUCCUAUUCAUCGGGAGGGGUGUGGCGUACCGCAAAACGGGACUCCACAGGAUACUGUUCAUCUCCACCGUCGACCCCCUCCAGCCUCCACGAGCUACUGUUCAUCCACCGUCGACCUCCUCCAGCCUCCACGGGCUCCUGUUCAUCCAGCCUCCACCGCGCGCUACUCCAUCGGCUACUGUUCAACCACCCCUCCACCGUCUAUUAUUCAUCCAACCCUCCGCACCACGGGGUCCUGUUCAACCACCCCUCCACGGGCACCCCUCCACCGUCUACUGUUCAUCAUGCCCUCCACACCACGGGGUCCUGUUCAUCCACCCCUCCACGGGCACCCCUCCACGGGCACCCCUCCACGGGCACCCCUCCACCAUCUACUGUUCAUCCAGCCCUCCACCACACCACGGGGUCUUGUUCAUCCAGAGGCAACACCACCACUCACUGUUCAUCCAACCCCCUUCCCUCGCAACGCUCACUGUUCAUCCCAUCGAUCGGCUUCAGUUAGCAGCAGUAGCCAAGGAAUCACUCGAUCGGGUUCAGUUAACAGCCAUCGAUCGAUCGCUCGGGUUCAGUAACGCGUAGCCUGCAGUGCAAUCGCUCGGGUUUAGUUAGAGCCCAACGCCUCGCUCGGGUUCAGUUAGAGCCAACGCCUCGCACACAUACGCGUACGUGUACGAGACAAACGCGCAUCGCUCAGCCCCCGACCUCCCACCGUAACCGAGAACUCCCCGAAAUUUUCCUCCCCCUCGCUUCUACCAUGGUUUUUUCUGUCAUGGACGGCCCAAAGAAUGUCAUGCAGUUGCGUCUCUGGCCCGCCCGGGACGAAAAGCCCAUUUUCUGUCAUGAUUUUUUGUCAUAGAAGUAGGAGCCCACCACAUCUAUGAUGAUACCGGGUUUUGUCACAAUUAUCGUCAUAGAAGUGUCAUAUGUAUGACAGAAAAAAAAUUCGUUCGGCCCAAAAUGUCACGGAUGUGUCUUUUUUUUGUAGUGUAGGUUGCUAGUAGUGUUAAUUACCCCUUGUAGUUGAUGCUAGUUGGUUUAAUUGGUGGAAGAUCAUAUGUUCAGAUCCUAUAUGCAUAUUAAUACCCCUCUGAUUAUGAACAUGUUUAUGCUUUGUGAGUAGUUACUUUUGUUCCUGAGGACAUGGGAGAAGUGUUGCUAUUAGUAGUCAUCUGAAUUUGGUAUUCAUUCGAAAUUUUGAUGAGAUGUAUGUUGUCUCUCCUCUAGUGGUGUUAUGUGAACGUCGACUACAUGACACUUCACCAUUAUUUGGGCCUAGAGGAAGGCAUUGGGAAGUAAUAAGUAGAUGAUGGGUUGCUAGAGUGACAGAAGCUUAAACCCUAGUUUAUGUGUUGCUUCGUAAGGGGCUGAUUUGGAUCCAUAUGUUUCAUGCUAUGGUUAGGUUUACCUUAAUACUUUUGUUGUAUUUGUGGAUGCUUGCAAUAGAGGUUAAUCAUAAGUGGGAUGCUUAUCCAAGUAAGGGCAGCACCCGAGCACCGGUCCACCCACAUACCAAAUUAUCAAAGUACCAAACGCGAAUCAUAUGAACGUGAUGAAAACUAGCUUGACGAUAUUCCCAUGUGUCCUCGGGAGCGCUUUACAUCAUAUAAGAGUUUGUCCAGGCUUGUCCUUUGCAACAAAAGGAUUGGACCACCUUGAUGCACUUUAUUUACUUUUGUUACUUGUUGCUAGUUACAAAUUAUCCUAUCACAAAACUAUCUGUUACCACUUAUUUCAGUACUUGCAGAGAAUACCUUGCUGGAAACCGCUUAUCAUUUCCUUCUGCUCCUCGUUGGGUUCGACACUCUUACUUAUCGAAAGGACUACGAUAGAUCCCCUAUACUUGUGGGUCAUCAAGACUCUUUUCUGGUGCCGUUGCCGGGGAGUGAAGCGCCUUUGGUAGGUGGAAUUUGGUAAGGAAAAAUUUAUAUAGUGUGCUAAAAUUUACCGUCACUUGUUACCAUGGAAGGUAAUCCUCUAAGGGGCUUGUUCGAGGUAUCUUCACCCCGACCAGUUGAGCAAAGAGUUGCUCUUCAACCUACUGAAAAUGAAAAUGAAAAUGAAAAUUCUUGCUUUGAAGUUCCUUCAGGUAUGAUAGAAAAACUGCUAGCUAAUCCUUUUCUAGGAGAUGGAACAAAACAUCCUGAUGAACAUCUAAUAUAUGUGGAUCAAGUUUGUGGAUUAUUUAAGCUUGCAGGUGUACCCGGAGAUGUUGUUAAGAAGAAGGUCUUUCCCUUAUCUUUGAGGGGAGACGCAUCGACAUGGUAUAGGCUAUGUGAUGAUAUGAGGUCUUGGAAUUACAAACGAUUAAAAUUGGAAUUUCAUGAGAAGUUUUGUCCUAUGCAUCUUGUUCAUCGUGAUCGCAAUUAUAUAUAUAAUUUUUGGCCUCACGAAGGAGAAAGCAUCGCUCAAGCUUGGGGGAGGCUUAAGUCAAUGUUAUAUUCAUGCCCCAAUCAUGAGCUCUCAAGAGAAAUGAUUAUUCAAAAAAUUUAUGCUCGGCUUUCUGGUAACAAUCGCACCAUGCUUUGUGCUGGCUCUUUUAUGAUGAAGACUAUUGAAUUCAAAUGGGAUCUAUUGGAAAGAAUUAAAUGCAACUCUGAAGAUUGGGACCUCGACAAUGGUAAGGAGUCAGGUAUGACACCUAGUUUUGAUUGUGUUAAAUCUUUUAUGGAUACCGAUAUUUUUCAUAAAUUUAGCACUAAAUAUGGACUUGACUCUGAGAUAGUAGCUUCUUUCUGUGAAUCUUUUGCUACCUAUGUUGAUCUCCCCAAGGAGAAGUGGUUUAAAUAUCAUCCUCCCAUAGAAGUAAAAGUAGCUGCACCUAUUAAAGUUGAAGAAAAGACUAUCACUUAUAAUGAUCCUAUUGUUCCUACUUCUUAUGUUGAGAAACCACCUUUCCCUGUUAGGAUAAAGGAUCAUGCUAAAGCUUCAACUGUGGUUCGUAAAAGCAAUAUUAAAACAUAUACACCUCCUGAGCAAGUUAAAGUUGAACCUAAUAUUGCUAUUGUUAAAGAUCUCUUGUCUGAUAAUAUGAUGGGCAUGUUAUUUAUUUCUGUAAUGAAACUGCUAGAAUUGCUAAACCCCGUGAUAAAGAUAAACCUAGACCUGUAGUAGGCAUGCCUGUUAUUUCUGUUAAAAUAGGAGAUCAUUGUUAUCAUGGCUUAUGUGAUAUGGGUGCCAGUGUUAGUGCAAUACCUUAUUCCUUAUACAAAGAAGUUAUGCAUGAUAUUGCACCUGCUGAGAUGGAAGAUAUUGAUGUCACAAUUAAACUGGCCAAUAGAGAUACUAUUUCACCAAUGGGAAUUGUUAGAGAUGUUGAAGUCUUGUGUGGGAAAACUAAAUAUCCUGCUGAUUUUCUUGUUCUUGGUUCCCCACAAGAUAGCUUUUGUCCCAUUAUAUUUGGUAGACCCUUCUUAAAUAUUGUUAAUGCUACCAUAGAUUGCAAAAGAGAUGUUGUUACUAUCGGUUUAGAUGAUAUGACUCAUGAAUUUAAUUUCUCUAAAUUUAGUAGACAACUCCAUGAAGAAGAAUUACCUAGUAAGGAUGAAAUUAUUGGUCUUGCUUCUAUUGCCGUACCUCCUAGUGAUCCUUUAGAACAAUAUUUGCUAGACCAUGAAGAUGACAUGUUUAUGAAUGAAAGAAGGGAAUUAGAUGAAGUAUUCUUUAAACAGGAACCUAUGCUGAAAAACAAUUUACCUGUUGAAAUCCUAGGGGAUCCGCCCCCACCCAAGGGUGAUCCAGUGUUUGAGCUUAAACAUUUACCUGAUACUCUUAAAUAUGCUUAUCUUGGUGAGAAAAGGAUAUAUCCUAUUAUUAUUAGUGCUAACCUUUCAGAACAUGAGGAAGACAGAUUAUUGAAAACUCUGAAGAAGCACCGUGCUUCUAUUGGGUAUACUCUUGAUGAUCUUAAGGGCAUUAGUCCCACUCUAUGUCAACAUAAAAUUAAUUUGGAAGAAGAUGCCAAACUAGUUUGUGAUCAUCAACGCCGGCUGAAUCCUAAAAUGAAAGAAGUGGUAAGAAAAGAGAUACUAAAGCUCCUUGAGGCAGGUAUAAUUUAUCUCGUUGCUGAUAGUCAGUGGGUAAGCCCUGUCCAUUAUGUCCCUAAGAAGGGAGGUAUUACUGUGUUGGGUUUCGUAGUAAUUUCAAAAUUUUUCCUACGCGCACACAGAAUCAUGUGAUGCAUAGCAACGAGGGGAGAGUGUUGUCUACGUACCCAACGCAGACCGACUGCGGAAGCGAUGACACGACGUAGAGGAAGUAGUCGUACGUCUUCACGAUCCAACCGAUCAAGCACCGAAACUACGGCACCUCCGAGUUCGAGCACACGUUCAGCCCGAUGACGAUCCCCGGACUCCGAUCCAGCAAAGUGUUGGGGAAGAGUUUCGUCAGCAUGACGGCGUGGUGACGAUCUUGAUGAACUACAGCAGCAGGGCUUCGCCUAAACUCCGCUACAGUAUUAUCGAGGUAUAUGGUGGCAGGGGGCACCGCACACGGCUAAGGAAUCGAUCACGUGGAUCAACUUGUGUCAACUUGUGUGUUUAGAGGUGCCCCUGCCUCUGUAUAUAAAGGAGCCAAGGGGGGAGGGUGCGCCGGCCAGGAGGAGGAGGCGCAGGAGGAGUCCUACUCCUACCGGGAGUAGGACUCCCCUCCAAUCCUAUUCCAACUAGGAUUCCCAAGGGGGAAAGAGGGAGAGGGGUGGCCGGCCACCUCUCCUAGUCCUAAUAGGACUAGGGGAAGGGGGGAGGCGCGCAGCCCCCUUGGGCUGCCCCUUUCUCCUUUCCACUAAGGCCCAUGAAGGCCCAUGUGGUUCCCGGGGGGUUCCGGUAACCUCCCGGUAACCCGGUAAAAUCCCGAUUUCACCCGGAACACUUCCGAUGUCCAAACAUAGGCUUCCAAUAUAUCAAUCUUUAUGUCUCGACCAUUUCGAGACUCCUCGUCAUGUCCGUGAUCACAUCCGGGACUCCGAACAACCUUCGGUACAUCAAAAUGCAUAAACUCAUAAUAUAACUGUCAUCGUAACCUUAAGCGUGCGGACCCUACGGGUUCGAGAACAAUGAAGACAUGACCGAGACAUGUCUCUGGUCAAUAACCAAUAGCGGGACCUGGAUGCCCAUAUUGGCUCCUACAUAUUCUAUGAAGAUCUUUAUCGGUCAGACCGCAUAACAACAUACGUUGUUCCCUUUGUCAUCGGUAUGUUACUUGCCCGAGAUUCGAUCGUCGGUAUCCAAUACCUAGUUCAAUCUCGUUACCGGCAAGUCUCUUUACUCGUUCCGUAAUACAUCAUCUCACAACUAACAUAUUAGUUGUAAUGCUUGCAAGGCUUAUGUGAUGUGUAUUACCGAGAGGGCCCAGAGAUACCUCUCCGACAAUCGGAGUGACAAAUCCUAAUCUCGAAAUACGCCAACCCAACAUCGACCAUUGGAGACACCUGUAGUACUCCUUUAUAAUCACCCAGUUACGUUGUGACGUUUGGUAGUACCCAAAGUGUUCCUCCGGUAAACGGGAGUUGCAUAAUCUCAUAGUCAUAGGAACAUGUAUAAGUCAUGAAGAAAGCAAUAGCAACAUACUAAACGAUCGGGUGCUAAGCUAAUGGAAUGGGUCAUGUCAAUCAGAUCAUUCUACUAAUGAUGUGACCUCGUUAAUUAAAUAACAACUCAUUGUUCAUGGUUAGGAAACUUAACCAUCUUUGAUUAACGAGCUAGUCAAGUAGAGGCAUACUAGUGACACUCUGUUUGUCUAUGUAUUCACACAUGUAUUAUGUUUCCGGUAAAUACAAUUCUAGCAUGAAUAAUAAACAUUUAUCAUGAUUAUAAGGAAAUAAAUAAUAACUUUAUUAUUGCCUCUAGGGCAUAUUUCCUUCAGUCUCCCACUUGCACUAGAGUCAAUAAUCUAGAUUACACUGUAAUGAAUCUUACACCCAUGGAGCUUUGGUGCUGAUCAUGUUUUGCUCGUGGAAGAGGCUUAGUCAACGGAUCUGCAACAUUCAGAUCCGUAUGUAUCUUGCAAAUCUCUAUGUCUCCCACCUGGACUAGAUCCCGGAUGGAGUUGAAGCGUCUCUUGAUGUGUUUGGUCCUUUUGUGAAAUCUGGAUUCCUUUGCCAAGGCAAUUGCACCAGUAUUGUCACAAAAGAUUUUCAUUGGACCCGAUGCACUAGGUAUGACACCUAGAUCGGAUAUGAACUCCUUCAUCCAGACUCCUUCAUUUGCUGCUUCCGAAGCAGCUAUGUAUUCCGCUUCACAUGUAGAUCCCGCUACAACGCUUUGUUUAGAACUGCACCAACUGACAGCUCCACCGUUUAAUGUAAACACGUAUCCGGUUUGCGAUUUAGAAUCGUCCGGAUCAGUGUCAAAGCUUGCAUCAACGUAACCUUUUACGGUGAGCUCUUUGUCACCUCCAUAUACGAGAAACAUAUCCUUAGUCCUUUUCAGGUAUUUUAGGAUGUUCUUGUUAGGUUUCGUAGUAAUUUCAAAAAUUUUCCUACGCGCACACAGGAUCAUGUGAUGCAUAGCAACGAGAGGAGAGUGUUGUCUACGUACCCAACGCAGACCGACUGCGGAAGCGAUGACACGACGUAGAGGAAGUAGUCGUACGUCUUCACGAUCCAACCGAUCAAGCACCGAAACUACGGCACCUCCGAGUUCGAGCACACGUUCAGCUCGAUGACGAUCCCCGGACUCCGAUCCAGCAAAGUGUCGGGGAAGAGUUUCGUCAGCACGACGGCGUGGUGACGAUCUUGAUGAACUACAGCAGCAGGGCUUCGCCUAAACUCCGCUACAGUAUUAUCGAGGAAUAUGGUGGCAGGGGGCACCGCACACGGCUAAGGAAUCGAUCACGUGGAUCAACUUGUGUCAACUUGUGUGUUUAGAGGUGCCCCUGCCUCCGUAUAUAAAGGAGGAGAGGAGGGGAGGCUCGCCGGCCAAAGAGGGAGGCGCAGGAGAGUCCUACUCCCUCUGGGAGUAGGAUUCCUCCCCCCAAUCCUAGUCCAACUAGGAUUCCUCGGAGGGGAAGGGAGAGAGGGGGGCCGGCCACCUUCUCCUAGUCCUAAUAGGACUAGGGGAGGGGAAAGAGGCGCAGCCACCUUGGGCUGCCCCUUUCUCCUUUCCACUAAGGCCCAUGAUGGCCCAUAUGGCUCCCGGGGGGUUCCGGUAACCUCCCGGUAACCCGGUAAAAUCCCGAUUUCACCCGGAACACUUCCGAUGUCCAAACAUAGGCUUCCAAUAUAUCAAUCUUUACGUCUCGACCAUUUCAAGACUCCUCGUCAUGUCCGUGAUCACAUCCGGGACUCCGAACAACCUUCGGUACAUCAAAAUGCAUAAACUCAUAAUAUAACUGUCAUCGUAACCUUAAGCGUGCGGACCCUACGGGUUCGAGAACAAUGUAGACAUGACCGAGACAUGUCUCUGGUCAAUAACCAAUAGCGGGACCUGGAUGCCCAUAUUGGCUCCUACAUAUUCUACGAAGAUCUUUAUCGGUCAGACCGCAUAACAACAUACGUUGUUCCCUUUGUCAUCGGUAUGUUACUUGCCCGAGAUUCGAUCGUCGGUAUCCAAUACCUAGUUCAAUCUCGUUACCGGCAAGUCUCUUUACUCGUUCCGUAAUACAUCAUCUCACAACUAACAUAUUAGUUGUAAUGCUUGCAAGGCUUAUGUGAUGUGUAUUACCGAGAGGGCCCAAAGAUACCUCUCCGACAAUCGGAGUGACAAAUCCCAAUCUCGAAAUACGCCAACCCAACAUCGACCAUUGGAGACACCUGUAGUACUCCUUUAUAAUCACCCAGUUACAUUGUGACGUUUGGUAGUACCCAAAGUGUUCCUCCGGUAAACGGGAGUUGCAUAAUCUCAUAGUCAUAGGAACAUGUAUAAGUCAUGAAGAAAGCAAUAGCAACAUACUAAACGAUCGGGUGCUAAGCUAAUGGAAUGGGUCAUGUCAAUCAGAUCAUUCUACUAAUGAUGUGACCUCGUUAAUCAAAUAACAACUCUUCGUUCAUGGUUAGGAAACAUAACCAUCUUUGAUUAACGAGCUAGUCAAGUAGAGGCAUACUAGUGACACUAUGUUUGUCUAUGUAUUCACACAUGUAUUAUGUUUCCGGUAAAUACAAUUCUAGCAUGAAUAAUAAACAUUUAUCAUGAUUAUAAGGAAAUAAAUAAUAACUUUAUUAUUGCCUCUAGGGCAUAUUUCCUUCAGUCUCCCACUUGCACUAGAGUCAAUAAUCUAGAUUACACUGUAAUGAUUCUAACACCCAUGGAGCCUUGGUGCUGAUCAUGUUUUGCUCGUGGAAGAGGCUUAGUCAACGGGUCUGCAACAUUCAGAUCCGUAUGUAUCUUGCAAAUCUCUAUGUCUCCCACCUGGACUAGAUCCCGGAUGGAGUUGAAGCGUCUCUUGAUGUGUUUGGUCCUUUUGUGAAAUCUGGAUUCCUUUGCCAAGGCAAUUGCACCAGUAUUGUCACAAAAGAUUUUCAUUGGACCCGAUGCACUAGGUAUGACACCUAGAUCGGAUAUGAACUCCUUCAUCCAGACUCCUUCAUUUGCUGCUUCCGAAGCAGCUAUGUAUUCCGCUUCACAUGUAGAUCCUGCUACGACGCUUUGUUUAGAACUGCACCAACUGACAGCUCCACCGUUUAAUGUAAACACGUAUCCGGUUUGCGAUUUAGAAUCGUCCGGAUCAGUGUCAAAGCUUGCAUCAACGUAACCUUUUACGAUGAGCUCUUUGUCACUUCCAUAUACGAGAAACAUAUCCUUAGUCCUUUUCAGGUAUUUCAGGAUGUUCUUGACCGCUGUCCAGUGAUCCAUUCCUGGAUUACUUUGGUACCUCCCUGCUAAACUUAUAGCAAGGCACACAUCAGGUCUGGUACACAGCAUUGCAUACAUGAUAGAGCCUAUGGCUGAUGCAUAGGGAACAUCUUUCAUAUUCUCUCUAUCUUUUGCAGUGGUCGGGCAUUGAGUCUUACUCAAUUUCACACCUUGUAACACAGGCAAGAACCCUUUCUUUGCUUGAUCCAUUUUGAACUUCUUCAAAAUUUUGUCAAGGUAUGUGCUUUGUGAAAGUCCAAUUAAGCGUCUUGAUCUAUCUCUAUAGAUCUUAAUGCCUAAUAUGUAAGCAGCUUCACCGAGGUCUUUCAUUGAAAAACUUUUAUUCAAGUAUCCCUUUAUGCUAUCCAGAAAUUCUAUAUCAUUUCCAAUCAGUAAUAUGUCAUCCACAUAUAAUAUCAGAAAUGCUACAGAGCUCCCACUCACUUUCUUGUAAAUACAGGCUUCUCCGAAAGUCUGUAUAAAACCAAAUGCUUUGAUCACACUAUCAAAACGUUUAUUCCAACUCCGAGAGGCUUGCACCAGUCCAUAAAUGGAUCGCUGGAGCUUGCACACUUUGUUAGCUUCCUUUGGAUCGACAAAACCUUCUGGUUGCAUCAUAUACAACUCUUCUUCCAGGAUUCCAUUCAGGAAUGCAGUUUUGACAUCCAUUUGCCAAAUUUCAUAAUCAUAAAAUGCGGCAAUUGCUAACAUGAUUCGGACGGACUUAAGCAUCGCUACGGGUGAGAAGGUCUCAUCGUAGUCAAUUCCUUGAACUUGUCGAAAACCUUUUGCGACAAGUCGAGCUUUGUAGACAGUAACAUUACCAUCAGCGUCAGUCUUCUUCUUAAAGAUCCAUUUAUUCUCAAUUGCUUGCCGAUCAUCGGGCAAGUCAACCAAAGUCCAUACUUUGUUCUCAUACAUGGAUCCCAUCUCAGAUUUCAUGGCUUCAAGCCACUUUGCGGAAUCUGGGCUCACCAUCGCUUCUUCAUAGUUCGUAGGUUCAUCAUGAUCUAGUAGCAUGACUUCCAGAACAGGAUUUCCGUACCACUCUGGCGCGGAUCUUACUCUGGUUGAUCUAUGUGGUUCAGUAGUAUCUUGAUCUGAAGUUUCAUGAUCAUUAUCAUUGGCUUCCUCACUAACCGGUGUAGGUGUCACUGAAACAGUUUUCUGUGAUGAACUACUCUCCAGUAAGGGAGCAGGUACAGUUACCUCGUCAAGUUCUACUUUCCUCCCACUCACUUCUUUCGAGAGAAACUCCUUCUCUAGAAAUGAUCCAUUCUUAGCAACGAAUGUUUUGCCUUCGGAUCUGUGAUAGAAGGUGUACCCAACAGUUUCCUUUGGGUAUCCUAUGAAUACACAUUUCUCCGAUUUGGGUUCGAGCUUAUCAGGUUUGAAGCUUUUUCACAUAAGCAUCGCAGCCCCAAACUUUAAGAAACGACAACUUUGGUUUCUUGCCAAACCAUAGUUCAUAAGGCUCGUCUCAACGGAUUUUGAUGGUGCCCUAUUUAACGUGAAUGCGGCUGUCUCUAAAGCAUAACCCCAAAAUGAUAGCGGUAAAUCUGUAAGAGACAUCAUAGAUCGCACCAUAUCUAGUAAAGUACGAUUACGACGUUCGGACACACCAUUGCGCUGUGGUGUUCCGGGUGGCGUGAGUUGUGAAACUAUUCCACAGUUUUUCAAAUGUACACCAAACUCGUAACUCAAAUAUUCUCCUCCACGAUCAGAUCGUAGAAACUUUAUUUUCUUGUUACGAUGAUUUUCAACUUCACUCUGAAAUUCUUUGAACUUUUCAAAUGUUUCAGACUUAUGCUUCAUUAAGUAGAUAUAUCCAUAUCUGCUCAAAUCAUCUGUGAAGGUGAGAAAAUAACGAUAUCCGCCACGAGCCUCAAUAUUCAUCGGACCACAUACAUCGGUAUGUAUGAUUUCCAACAAAUCUGUUGCUCUCUCCAUAGUACCGGAGAACGGUGUUUUAGUCAUCUUGCCCAAGAGGCACGGUUCGCAAGUACCAAGUGAUUCAUAAUCAAGUGGUUCCAAAAGUCCAUUAGUAUGGAGUUUCUUCAUGCGUUUUACACCGAUAUGACCUAAACGACAGUGCCACAAAUAAGUUGCACUUUCAUUAUCAACUCUGUAUCUUUUGGUUUCAACAUUAUGAAUAUGUGUAUUACUACUAUCGAGAUUCAGUAAGAAUAGACCACUCUUCAAGGGUGCAUGACCAUAAAAGAUAUUACUCAUAUAAAUAGAACAACCAUUAUUUUCUGAUUUAAAUGAAUAACCGUCUCGCAUUAAACAAGAUCCAGAUAUAAUGUUCAUGCUCAACGCUGGCACCAAAUAACAAUUAUUUAGGUCUAAUAUUAAUCCCGAAGGUAGAUGUAGAGGUAGCGUGCCGACCGCGAUCACAUCGACUUUGGAACCGUUUCCCACGCGCAUCGUCACCUCGUCCUUUGCCAGUGCCCGCUUAUUCUGUAGUCCCUGUUUCGAGUUGCAAAUAUUAGCAACAGAACCAGUAUCAAAUACCCAGGUGCUACUGCGAGCUCUAGUAAGGUACACAUCAAUAACAUGUAUAUCAUAUAUACCUUUGUUCACCUUGCCAUCUUUCUUAUCCGCCAAAUACUUGGGGCAGUUCCGCUUCCAGUGACCAGUCUGCUUGCAGUAGAAGCACUCAGUUUCAGGCUUAGGUCUAGACUUGGGUUUCUUAUCGAGCAGCAACUUGCUUGCUGUUCUUCUUGAAGUUCCCUUUCUUCUUUCCUUUGCCCUUUUUCUUGAAACUAGUGGUUUUGUUAACCAUCAACACUUGAUGCUCCUUUUUGAUUUCUACCUCCGCAGCUUUCAGCAUUGCGAAGAGCUCGGGAAUAGUCUUGUUCAUCCCUUGCAUAUUAUAGUUCAUCACGAAGCUCUUGUAGCUUGGUGGCAGUGAUUGGAGAAUUCUGUCGAUGACGCAAUCAUCCGGAAGAUUAACUCCCAAUUGAAUCAAGUGAUUAUUAUACCCAGACAUUUUGAGUAUAUGCUCACUGACAGAACUGUUCUCCUCCAUCUUGCAGCUAUAGAACUUAUUGGAGACUUCAUAUCUCUCAAUCCGGGCAUUUGCUUGAAAUAUUAACUUCAACUCCUGGAACAUCUCAUAUGCUCCAUGACGUUCAAAACGUCGUUGAAGUCCCGAUUCUAAGCCGUAAAGCAUGGCACACUGAACUAUCGAGUAGUCAUCAGCUUUGCUCUGCCAGACAUUCAUAACAUCUGGCGUUGCUCCAGCAGCAGGCCUGGCACCCAGCGGUGCUUCCAGGACGUAAUUCUUCUGUGCAGCAAUAAGGAUAAUCCUCAAGUUACGGACCCAGUCCGUGUAAUUGCUACCAUCAUCUUUCAACUUUGCUUUCUCAAGGAACGCAUUAAAAUUUAACGGAACAACAGCACGAGCCAUCUAUCUACAAUCAACAUAAACAAGCAAGAUACUAUCAGGGACUAAGUUCAUGAUAAAUUUUAAGUUCAAUUAAUCAUAUUACAAAAGAACUCCCACUUAGAUAGACAUCUCUCUAAUCCUCUAAGUGAUCACGUGAUCCAAAUCAACUAAACCAUAACCGAUCAUCACGUGAGAUGGAGUAGUUUUCAAUGGUGAACAUCGUUAUGUUGAUCAUAUCUACUAUAUGAUUCACGCUCGACCUUUCGGUCUCCGUGUUCCGAGGCCAUAUCUGCAUAUGCUAGGCUCGUCAAGUUUAACCUGAGUAUUCUGCGUGUGCAAAACUGGCUUGCACCCGUUGUAGAUGGACAUAGAGCUUAUCACACCCGAUCAUCACGUGGUGUCUGGGCACGACGAACUUUGGCAACGGUGCAUACUCAGGGAGAACACUUCUUGAUAAUUUAGUGAGAGAUCAUCUUAUAAUGCUACCGUCAAUCAAAGCAAGAUAAGAUGCAUAAAAAGAUAAACAUCACAUGCAAUCAAUAUAAGUGAUAUGAUAUGGCCAUCAUCAUCUCGUGCUUGAUCUCCAUCUCCGAAGCACCGUCAUGAUCACCAUCAUCACCGGCGCGACACCUUGAUCUCCAUCGUAGCAUCGUUGUCGUCUCGCCAAUCUUAUGCUUCCACGACUAUCACUACCGUUUAGUAAUAAAGUAAAGCAUUACAUCGCGAUUGCAUUGCAUACAAUAAAGCGACAACCAUAUGGCUCCUGCCAGUUGCCGAUAACUCGGUUACAAAACAUGAUCAUCUCAUACAAUAAAAUUCAGCAUCAUGCUUUGACCAUAUCACAUCACAACAUGCCCUGCAAAAACAAGUUAGACGUCCUCUACUUUGUUGUUGCAUGUUUUACGUGGCUGCUACGGGCUUAAGUAAGAACCAAUCUCACCUACGCAUCAAAACCACAACGAUAGUUUGUCAAAUAGACUCCGUUUUAACCUUCUCAAGGACCGGGCGUAGCCAUACUUGGUUCAACUAAAGUUGGAGAGGCAGUCGCCCGCAAGCCAUCUCUGUGCAAAGCACGUCGAGGGAACCGGUCUCGCGUAAGCGUACGCGUAAGGUUGGUCCGGGUCGUCUCGUCCAACAAUACCGCCGAACCAAAAUAUGACAUGCUGGUAGGCAGUAUGACUUGUAUCGUCCACAACUCACUUGUGUUCUACUCGUGCAUAUAACAUCAACAUCAAUAACCUAGGCUCUGAUACCACUGUUGGGUUUCGUAGUAAUUUCAAAAAAUUUCCUACGCGCACACAGAAUCAUGUGAUGCAUAGCAACGAGGGGAGAGUGUUGUCUACGUACCCAACGCAGACCGACUGCGGAAGCGAUGACACGACGUAGAGGAAGUAGUCGUACGUCUUCACGAUCCAACCGAUCAAGCACCGAAACUACGGCACCUCCGAGUUCGAGCACACGUUCAGCCCGAUGACGAUCCCCGGACUCCGAUCCAGCAAAGUGUCGGGGAAGAGUUUCGUCAGCACGACGGCAUGGUGACGAUCUUGAUGAACUACAGCAGCAGGGCUUCGCCUAAACUCCGCUACAGUAUUAUCGAGGUAUAUGGUGGCAGGGGGCACCGCACACGGCUAAGGAAUCGAUCACGUGGAUCAACUUGUGUCAACUUGUGUGUUUAGAGGUUCCCCUGCCUCUGUAUAUAAAGGAGCCAAGGGGGGAGGGUGCGCCGGCCAGGAGGAGGAGGCGCAGGAGGAGUCCUACUCCUACCGGGAGUAGGACUCCCCUCCAAUCCUAUUCCAACUAGGAUUCCCAAGGGGGAAAGAGGGAGAGGGGUGGCCGGCCACCUCUCCUAGUCCUAAUAGGACUAGGGGAAGGGGGGAGGCGCGCAGCCCCCUUGGGCUGCCCCUUUCUCCUUUCCACUAAGGCCCAUGAAGGCCCAUGUGGUUCCCGGGGGGUUCCGGUAACCUCCCGGUAACCCGGUAAAAUCCCGAUUUCACCCGGAACACUUCCGAUGUCCAAACAUAGGCUUCCAAUAUAUCAAUCUUUAUGUCUCGACCAUUUCGAGACUCCUCGUCAUGUCCGUGAUCACAUCCGGGACUCCGAACAACCUUCGGUACAUCAAAAUGCAUAAACUCAUAAUAUAACUGUCAUCGUAACCUUAAGCGUGCGGACCCUACGGGUUCGAGAACAAUGAAGACAUGACCGAGACAUGUCUCUGGUCAAUAACCAAUAGCGGGACCUGGAUGCCCAUAUUGGCUCCUACAUAUUCUAUGAAGAUCUUUAUCGGUCAGACCGCAUAACAACAUACGUUGUUCCCUUUGUCAUCGGUAUGUUACUUGCCCGAGAUUCGAUCGUCGGUAUCCAAUACCUAGUUCAAUCUCGUUACCGGCAAGUCUCUUUACUCGUUCCGUAAUACAUCAUCUCACAACUAACAUAUUAGUUGUAAUGCUUGCAAGGCUUAUGUGAUGUGUAUUACCGAGAGGGCCCAGAGAUACCUCUCCGACAAUCGGAGUGACAAAUCCUAAUCUCGAAAUACGCCAACCCAACAUCGACCAUUGGAGACACCUGUAGUACUCCUUUAUAAUCACCCAGUUACGUUGUGACGUUUGGUAGUACCCAAAGUGUUCCUCCGGUAAACGGGAGUUGCAUAAUCUCAUAGUCAUAGGAACAUGUAUAAGUCAUGAAGAAAGCAAUAGCAACAUACUAAACGAUCGGGUGCUAAGCUAAUGGAAUGGGUCAUGUCAAUCAGAUCAUUCUGCUAAUGAUGUGACCUCGUUAAUCAAAUAACAACUCUUUGUUCAUGGUUAGGAAACAUAACCAUCUUUGAUUAACGAGCUAGUCAAGUAGAGGCAUACUAGUGACACUUUGUUUGUCUAUGUAUUCACACAUGUAUUAUGUUACCGGUAAAUACAAUUCUAGCAUGAAUAAUAAACAUUUAUCAUGAUUAUAAGGAAAUAAAUAAUAACUUUAUUAUUGCCUCUAGGGCAUAUUUCCUUCAGUCUCCCACUUGCACUAGAGUCAAUAAUUUAGAUUACACUGUAAUGAUUCUAACACCCAUGGAGCCUUGGUGCUGAUCAUGUUUUGCUCGUGGAAGAGGCUUAGUCAAUGGGUCUGCAACAUUCAGAUCCGUAUGUAUCUUGCAAAUCUCUAUGUCUCCCACCUGGACUAGAUCCCGGAUGGAGUUGAAGCGUCUCUUGAUGUGUUUGGUCCUUUUGUGAAAUCUGGAUUCCUUUGCCAAGGCAAUUGCACCAGUAUUGUCACAAAAGAUUUUCAUUGGACCCGAUGCACUAGGUAUGACACCUAGAUCGGAUAUGAACUCCUUCAUCCAGACUCCUUCAUUUGCUGCUUCCGAAGCAGCUAUGUAUUCCGCUUCACAUGUAGAUCCCGCUACGACGCUUUGUUUAGAACUGCACCAACUGACAGCUCCACCGUUUAAUGUAAACACGUAUCCGGUUUGCGAUUUAGAAUCGUCCGGAUCAGUGUAAAAGCUUGCAUCAACGUAACCUUUUACGAUGAGCUCUUUGUCACUUCCAUAUACGAGAAACAUAUCCUUAGUCCUUUUCAGGUAUUUCAGGAUGUUCUUGACCGCUGUCCAGUGAUCCAUUCCUGGAUUACUUUGGUACCUCCCUGCUAAACUUAUAGCAAGGCACACAUCAGGUCUGGUACACAGCAUUGCAUACAUGAUAGAGCCUAUGGCUGAUGCAUAGGGAACAUCUUUCAUAUUCUCUCUAUCUUCUGCAGUGGUCGGGCAUUGAGUCUUACUCAAUUUCACACCUUGUAACACAGGCAAGAACCCUUUCUUUGCUUGAUCCAUUUUGAACUUCUUCAAAAUUUUGUCAAGGUAUGUGCUUUGUGAAAGUCCAAUUAAGCGUCUUGAUCUAUCUCUAUAGAUCUUAAUGCCUAAUAUGUAAGCAGCUUCACCGAGGUCUUUCAUUGAAAAACUUUUAUUCAAGUAUCCCUUUAUGCUAUCCAGAAAUUCUAUAUCAUUUCCAAUCCACAUAUAAUAUCAGAAAUGCUACAGAGCUCCCACUCACUUUCUUGUAAAUACAGGCUUCUCCGAAAGUCUGUAUAAAACCAAAUGCUUUGAUCACACUAUCAAAACGUUUAUUCCAACUCCGAGAGGCUUGCACCAGUCCAUAAAUGGAUCGCUGGAGCUUGCACACUUUGUUAGCUCCCUUUGGAUCGACAAAACCUUCUGGUUGCAUCAUAUACAACUCUUCUUCCAGGAAUCCAUUCAGGAAUGCAGUUUUGACAUCCAUUUGCCAAAUUUCAUAAUCAUAAAAUGCGGCAAUUGCUAACAUGAUUCGGACGGACUUAAGCAUCGCUACGGGUGAGAAGGUCUCAUCGUAGUCAAUUCCUUGAACUUGUCGAAAACCUUUUGCGACAAGUCGAGCUUUGUAGACAGUAACAUUACCAUCAGCGUCAGUCUUCUUCUUAAAGAUCCAUUUAUUCUCAAUUGCUUGCCGAUCAUCGGGCAAGUCAACCAAAGUCCAUACUUUGUUCUCAUACAUGGAUCCCAUCUCAGAUUUCAUGGCUUCUAGCCACUUUGCGGAAUCUGGGCUCACCAUCGCUUCUUCAUAGUUCGUAGGUUCAUCAUGAUCUAGUAGCAUGACUUCCAGAACAGGAUUUCCGUACCACUCUGGCGCGGAUCUUACUCUGGUUGAUCUACGUGGUUCAGUAGUAUCUUGAUCUGAAGUUUCAUGAUCAUUAUCAUUGGCUUCCUCACUAACCGGUGUAGGUGUCACUGAAACAGUUUUCUGUGAUGAACUACUUUCCAGUAAGGGAGCAGGUACAGUUACCUCGUCAAGUUCUACUUUCCUCCCACUCACUUCUUUCGAGAGAAACUCCUUCUCUAGAAAUGAUCCAUUCUUAGCAACGAAUGUUUUGCCUUCGGAUCUGUGAUAGAAGGUGUACCCAACAGUUUCCUUUGGGUAUCCUAUGAAGACACAUUUCUCCGAUUUGGGUUCGAGCUUAUCAGUUUGAAGUUUUUUCACAUAAGCAUCGCAGCCCCAAACUUUAAGAAACGACAACUUUGGUUUCUUGCCAAACCACAGUUCAUAAGGCGUCGUGGCAGGGGGCAGGGGGCACCGCACACGGCUAAGGAAUUGAUCACGUGGAUCAACUUGUGUCAACUUGUGUGUUUAGAGGUGCCCCUGCCUCAGUAUAUAAAGGAGCCAAGGGGGGAGGGUGCGCCGGCCAGGAGGAGGAGGCGCAGGAGGAGUCCUACUCCUACCGGGAGUAGGACUCCCCUCCAAUCCUAUUCCAAUUAGGAUUCCCAAGGGGGAAAGAGGGAGAGGGGUGGCCGGCCACCUCUCCUAGUCCUAAUAGGACUAGGGGAAGGGGGGAGGCGCGCAGCCCCCUUGGGCUGCCCUUUUCUCCUUUCCACUAAGGCCCAUGAAGGCCCAUGUGGUUCCCGGGGGGUUCCGGUAACCUCCCGGUAACCCGGUAAAAUCCCGAUUUCACCCGGAACACUUCCGAUGUCCAAACAUAGGCUUCCAAUAUAUCAAUCUUUAUGUCUCGACCAUUUCGAGACUCCUCGUCAUGUCCGUGAUCACAUCCGGGACUCCGAACAACCUUCGGUACAUCAAAAUGCAUAAACUCAUAAUAUAACUGUCAUCGUAACCUUAAGCGUGCGGACCCUACGGGUUCGAGAACAAUGUAGACAUGACCGAGACAUGUCUCUGGUCAAUAACCAAUAGCGGGACCUGGAUGCCCAUAUUGGCUCCUACAUAUUCUACGAAGAUAUUUAUCGGUCAGACCGCAUAACAACAUACGUUGUUCCCUUUGUCAUCGGUAUGUUACUUGCCCGAGAUUCGAUCGUCGGUAUCCAAUACCUAGUUCAAUCUCGUUACCGGCAAGUCUCUUUACUCGUUCCGUAAUACAUCAUCUCACAACUAACAUAUUAGUUGUAAUGCUUGCAAGGCUUAUGUGAUGUGUAUUACCGAGAGGGCCCAGAGAUACCUCUCCGACAAUCGGAGUGACAAAUCCUAAUCUCGAAAUACGCCAACCCAACAUCGACCAUUGGAGACACCUGUAGUACUCCUUUAUAAUCACCCAGUUACGUUGUGACGUUUGGUAGUACCCAAAGUGUUCCUCCGGUAAACGGGAGUUGCAUAAUCUCAUAGUCAUAGGAACAUGUAUAAGUCAUGAAGAAAGCAAUAGCAACAUACUAAACGAUCGGGUGCUAAGCUAAUGGAAUGGGUCAUGUCAAUCAGAUCAUUCUACUAAUGAUGUGACCUCGUUAAUCAAAUAACAACUCUUUGUUCAUGGUUAGGAAACAUAACCAUCUUUGAUUAACGAGCUAGUCAAGUAGAGGCAUAGUAGUGACACUAUGUUUGUCUAUGUAUUCACACAUGUAUUAUGUUUCCGGUAAAUACAAUUCUAGCAUGAAUAAUAAACAUUUAUCAUGAUUAUAAGGAAAUAAAUAAUAACUUUAUUAUUGCCUCUAGGGCAUAUUUCCUUCAUAGUGUUGUUCCUAAUGAUAAAGAUGAAUUGAUUCCUCAAAGAAUUGUUACAGGUUAUAGGAUGGUAAUUGAUUUCCGCAAAUUAAAUAAGGCUACUAAAAAAGAUCAUUACCCCUUACCUUUUAUCGAUCAAAUGCUAGAAAUAUUAACUAAACAUACACAUUUUUUAUUUCUAGAUGGUUAUUCUGGUUUCUCUUAAAUACCUGUGUCAGCCAAAGAUCAAUCAAAGACUACUUUUACAUGCCCUUUUGGUACUUUUUCUUAUAGACGUAUGCCUUUUGGUAUAUGUAAUGCACCUGCUACCUUUCAAAGAUGCAUGAUGGCUAUAUUCUCUGACUUUUGUGAAAAGAUUUGUGAGGUUUUCAUGGACGACUUUUUCGUCUAUGGAUCUUCUUUUGAUGACUGCUUGAGCAACCUUGAUCGAGUUUUGCAGAGAUGUGAAGAAACUAAUCUUGUCUUAAAUUGGGAAAAGUGCCACUUUAUGGUUAAUGAAGGUAUUGUAUUGGGGCAUAAAGUUUCUGAAAGAGGUAUUGAAGUUGAUAAAGCCAAGGUUGAUGCUAUUGAAAAGAUGCCAUGUCCCAAGGACAUUAAAGGUAUAAGAAGUUUCCUUGGUCAUGCCGGUUUUUAUAGGAGGUUUAUUAAGGACUUCUCAAAAAUCUCUCGGCCUCUAACUAAUUUAUUACAAAAAGAUAUACCAUUUGUCUUUGAUGAUGAUUGUGUAGAAGCAUUUGAAAUACUUAAGAAAGCAUUGAUUUCUGCACCUAUUGUUCAGCCACCUGAUUGGAAUUUACCCUUUGAAAUUAUGUGUGAUGCUAGUGAUUAUGCUGUAGGUGUUGUUCUAGGACAAAGAGUUGAUAAGAAACUGAAUGUUAUUCAAUAUGCUAGUAAAACUCUAGACAAUGCUCAAAGAAAUUAUGCUACUACUGAAAAAGAAUUCUUAGCAGUUGUAUUUGUUUGUGAUAAGUUCAGACCUUAUAUUGUUGAUUCUAAAGUAACUAUUCACACUGAUCAUGCUGCUAUUAAAUAUCUUAUGGAAAAGAAAGAUGCUAAACCUAGACUUAUUAGAUGGGUUCUCUUACUACAAGAAUUUGAUUUGCAUAUUGUUGAUAGAAAAGGAGCUGAGAACCCCGUUGCAGAUAACUUGUCUAGGUUAGAAAAUGUGCUUGAUGACCCACUACCUAUUGAUGAUAGCUUCCCUGAUGAGCAAUUAAAUGUCAUAAAUGCCUCUCAUACUGCUCCAUGGUAUGCUGAUUAUGCUAAUUACAUUGUUGCUAAGUUUAUACCACCUAAUUUCACAUACUAGCAAAAGAAAAAGUUCUUCUAUGAUUUGAGGCAUUACUUUUGGGAUGACCCACAUCUUUAUAAAUAAGGAGUAGAUGGUGUUAUUAGAUAUUGUGUACCUGAGCAUGAACAGGAACAUAUCCUACGCAAGUGUCACUCCGAAGCUUAUGGAGGACACCAUGCUGGAGAUAGGACUGCACAUAAGGUACUGCAAUCUGGUUUUUAUUGGCCUACUCUCUUCAAGGAUGCCUGUAAGUUUGUAUUAUCUUGUGAUGAAUGUCAAAGAAUUAGUAAUAUUAGUAGACGUCAAGAAAUGCCUAUGAAUUAUUCACUUGUUAUUGAGCCAUUUGAUGUUUGGGGCUUUGACUAUAUGGGACCUUUUCCUUUCUCUAAUGGCUAUACACAUAUUUUAGUUGCUGUUGAUUGCGUUACUAAGUGGGCAGAAGUUAUUCCAACUAGUAGUGCUGAUCAUAACACUUCUAUUAAAAUGCUUAAAGAAGUUAUUUUCCAAGAUUUGGAGUCCCUAGAUAUUUAAUGACUGAUGGUGGUUCACAUUUUAUUCAUGGUUCUUUCCAUAAAAUGCUUGCUAAAUAUGAUGUUAAUCAUAGAAUUGCAUCUCCUUAUCACCCUCAGUCUAGUGGUCAAGUAGAAUUGAGUAAUAGAGAGCUCAAAUUAAUUUUGCAAAAGACUGUUAAUAGGUCUAGAAAGAAUUGGUCCAAGAAACUUGAUGAUGCAUUAUGGGCCCAUAGAACUGCAUAUAAAAAUCCUAUGGGUAUGUCUCCGUAUAAAAUGGUCUAUGGAAAAGCAUGUCACUUACCUCUCGAACUAGAACACAAGGCUUAUUGGGCUAUUAAAGAACUUAAUUAUGAUUUUAAACUUGCCGGUGAAAAGAGGUUAUUUGAUAUUAGCUCACUCGAUGAAUGGAGAACCCAAGCCUAUGAAAAUGCCAAGUUGUUUAAAGAAAAAGUUAAAAGAUGGCAUGACAAAAGGAUACAAAAGCGUGAGUUUAAUGUAGGUGAUUAUGUAUUGUUAUACAACUCUCAUUCAAGAUUUUUUGCAGGAAAGCUUCUCUCUAAAUGGGAAGGUCCUUACGUUAUCGAGGAGGUCUACCGUUCCGGUGCCAUAAAAAUCAACAACUUUGAAGGCACAAAUCCGAAGGUGGUGAACGGUCAAAGAAUCAAACAUUAUAUCUCAGGUAAUCCCAUAAAUGUUGAAACCAAUGUUAUUGAAACCAUAACCCCGGAGGAAUUCAUAAGGGACACUUUCCGGAACGUUUCAGACUCCGAAAAGGAAUAGGUAUGUGGUACGGUAAGUAAACCAACUCCAAAACAGUUUUUAAGGCAAUAUUUCUCCGUUUUGGAAUAUUUAGAAAAAUAGAAAAAUAAGUAGCAGUCCGGGAAGGACACGAGGUCUCCACGAGGGUGGAGGGCGCGCCCUACCCUACUGGGCGCGCCCCCCUACCUCGUGGGCACCUCGUGUGCUCUCUGGAGUCCGUUUUCAUACACAACACGUAUUUUGGUCGGUAAAAAUUCAUUAUAUAAUCUCCCGGGGGUUUUGACUCCCGUAUCACGCAAAAAUCUCCUGUCUUUGUUUUGAGCUGUUUUCUGUUAGGGUUGUCAAGGCCAGGCACUAUUCGUCUCCCUCCUCCUCCAACCAUGAGGGCAAUGAUGCUUGUCUAAUGAAGAUAGAGCUGAAGAGAGAAGAACCUAUGGAGAUCAACAAUGAUGAAGGGAUCAAGAAGGCCAUGGAGGACCAUGUUCCAGCAACAGAAGACACCCUUCAACUUGAUCACAAUCUUCUUACCCCAACAGAAAUCGAAGCUUUCAAGAUGAUUGAGUUGGCUCGUAUACAAAAUAAGUAUCUCACACGUGAAAAUAUUUUGUUAAAGGAGCAUAUCAUCGCACUCAAGGGCAUUAUCCGCAAGUUAGAAGACCUCCUACACUCGAUGUGCGACUAUCCAUCAUCAACAACCCCACCUUCUUCACCAGCAAAGGAGACAUAAUCACAUGGGUAUGGGCACUCCACUUGGCAACUGCCAAGCUUGGGGGAGUGCCCCGGUAUCGUAUCACCAUCACUCUAUCUUUAUCGUUUUUCUUAGUUCGAUCCUUUUGGUAAUAUCUUGAUCUAGUAGAAUGAAAGUUCUUAGUAUGAUCUAGUUGCGAGUUUUCCCUUAUUAUCCUUCUAUGUAAUCGAGUCCAUGAGCUAUAUAAUAAAGAUUAGUGUUGAGUCAAGGGCUUGAUUAUUUUGCCAUGAUCCUAAAGGAAUAAAAGAAAAGGGAAAGAAAUAAAAAGAAACAAAGAGAUCAUAUGAGUCUUAUGGAGAGUAAUGAUCUCACAUAGAAAGAGUAUGAUGAAUAAAAGUUAUUGAGGGUUGACAAACACAGUUUUGGUCAUCGUUGCAAUUAAUAGGAAGUAAUAAAGAAAGAGAGGUCUUCACAUAUAAAUAUACUAUCUUGGACAUCUUUUAUGAUUGUGAGCACUCAUUAAAAUAUGACAUGCUAAAGAGUUGACAUUGGACAAGGAAGACAACAUAAUGGGUUAUGUUUUCUUACAUCUGAGAUAAAUUAUAUUGUCUUGGAUCUUCCAACAUGAUGAGCUUGCCUUUCCCCCUCAUGCUAGCCAAAUUCAUUGCACCAAGUAGAUAUACUACUUGUGCUUCCAAAUACCCUUAAACCAGUUUUGCCAUAAGAGUCCACCAUACCUACCUAUGGAUUGAGUAAGAUCCAUCAAGUAAGUUGUCAUCGGUGCAAGCAAUAAAAAUUGCUCUCUAAAUAUGUAUGAUUGAUUGGUGUGGAUGAAAUAAGCUUUAUACGAUCGUGUGAUAUGGAAGUAAUAAAAGCAACAGACUGCAUAAUAAAGGUCCAUAUCACAAGGGGCAAUAUAAAGUGACGUUCUUUCGCAUUAAGAUUUUGUGCAUCCAACCAUAAAAGCGCAUGGCAACCUCUGCUUCCCUUUGCGAAGGGCCUAUCUUUUACUUUUAUCUCCUACAUUGCAUAAGAGUCAUGGUGAUCUUCACCCUUCCUUUUUACAUUUUAUCCUUUGUCAAGCACAAUAUGUUGGAAAGAUCCUGGUUAUAUGGCUAAUUGGAUGUGAGUUUUCAUGAACUAUUACUGUUGACAUUACCCCUGAGGUAAAAACGUUGGGAGGCAAAAGUAUAAGCCCCUAUCUUUCUCUGUGUCCGAUUAAAACUCCAUAUCCAUAAGUAUUGCGUGAGUGUCAGCUGUGAAAUAUUAUAUGAUAGUUGAGUAUGUGGACUUGCUGAAAAGCUCUUAUACAUUGACUCUUUCCUACGUUAUGAUGAAUUGCAAUUGCUUCAAUGACCGAGAUUGUAGUUUGUUAGUUUUCAAUGAAGUUUACGAUUCCUACUUGAUAUUGUGAUUGAAUUGUUACUCUAGCAUCAGAUAUUAUAUGACAAAGAAUUAUGUAAGUUACUGUUCUAAGAAUGAACAUGAUGCCCUCAUGUCCGUAUUUUAUUUUUAUCGACACAUCUAUCUCUAAACAUGUGGACAUAUUUUUCGAUUUCAGCUUUUCGCUUGAGGACAAGCGAGGUCUAAGCUUGGGGGAGUUGAUAUGUCCAUUUUGCGUCAUGAUUUUAUAUCAAUAUUUAUUGCAUUAUGGGCUAUUAUUACACAUUAUGUCACAAUACUUAUACAUUUUCUCUCUUAUUUUAUAAGGUUUACAUAAAAAGGGAGAAUGCCGACAGCUGGGAUUCUGGGCUGGAAAAGGAGCAAAUAUUAGAGACCUAUUCUCCACAGCUCCAAAAGUCCUGAAACUUCACGGAUGAUGUUUUCCAAAUAUAUAAAAAAUAGUGAGCGCAAGAACCUCACCAGGGGGGCCACACCCUUCCCACGAGGGUGGGCGCACGCCCUACCCCCUAGGCGCGCCUCCCUACCUCGUGGGCCCCCUGGUGGUCCUCCGGUGGCCAUCUUAUGCUAUAUGAAGUCUUUUGAUGGGAAAAAAUCAUAAGCCAUCUUCUCAGACGGAACUCCGCCGCCAUGAGGCGGAACCUUGGCGGAACCAAUCUAGGGCUCUGGCGGAGCUGUUCUGCCGGGGAAACUUCCCCCCCGGAGGGGGAAAUUGUCACAUCCCUAGCUCUACCUUGGCCUUGUACUAGCUUGGUUGUUGCAUCAUGUUUAAAUUCAAAUGAAAUUUGAACUGAGGAAUUCAGAAGCCUCAAAACCCUAAUUAAAAGAAGGGCAAGCAACCCUUAAAUUGCAUUCUGUGAAUCCAAAAUGCCCUAAAAAUAGUUUUGUGAAUUUUGGCAAGGGUUAUACAUCAAACCAAAAUUCUGGAAUAUUUUUAAGGAAUUACUUGGUCUCUGAAUUUAAAUCAAUAAUCUAUUUGAAUUUGGGGAUAUAUUCAUAAUAUAUAAUGAAUAUAUUUUCAAAUGCUUUGAAAUAUUUUAUGUACUUUUGGAAUAGUCCAGAGAGGUAACAUAAAAUAUUUCAGAAUGUUUUGGCACUGUAUGAAAUUAUUUUGAAUUUGAAAACAGUGGCAAAAUAAAAUAAAAAGGGAAACAGAACAGAAAAAAAUAAAAGGAGCAAAGCUUACCUGUGCAGCCCACCAGAGCCGGCCCAGCUCCUGUGCUGGUCCAGCACUGUGCGGCCCAGCCCACCGCGGUCGCCACCGUCUUCAACCUCCUGCCAGUAGGCAGGAGGGCGUGUGCCCGACGCGCGCGCGCACGCUCCGGCCACCUCCUGCUUACCCGCUCGCCGCUGGAGGCACCCGAGGGCGCCACGCACUCCCCCUCGCCCCCUGCACCUCCCCUCUCUUCCCCUGGACCCCGUUCCCUCCUCUGCUCUCUCCCUGCACGCGCCCGAGCGGAGCUCGUCGUCGCCGACGCCGUUCGCCGUAGCCACCGUGCUCCUCACUGCCACCCGAAGUACCUAGAAGAUCCGCCCCGACCCCCUCUUCCUCCUCGCCGAGAAGCACACCGCGGGAGCCCCUGCAUCACCGCCAUCGCCGUCGUCUUCUACCUCGGACCCGCCGGCCAUCUUCGUCAAAUUCGUCGGCUCCGGUGCCUCCCCGAGCUCCCCGAGGCCACCGUCGCAACCCCUGUGAGCUUGCCUUCGUUUCCCCUCAUCUCUCUCCCUCGCGUGCACCCUGUAGCCGCCGCCCCACGAGCACCCGAAGCUGCCGUCCGCCAUGGCCGGUGAGCUCCGUGCUCCCGAGCUCCUCCGCCUGCGCUCGUUGUCUCCGGGUGUUCCUGGUGACCCCAGCAUCCCGUAGAGCCCAUCAGCUGACCUCGCCGUGCCGUGUAACGCCGAACCCGAGCACGCCCGAGCUCCGGCCGCCGCUGCCGAGCUCGGGGCCAUCGUCCCCGGCCGCCCUAGCUGCUGCUGCUUGCUGAAACGGGUGCGGGUGAGCUCCAGCUCCCCGUAGCCGCUCUCCUCCGUCCAUUUGGACGCCGGAGGAGCGAUCCCGAAGCCCUCCGCCGUGCCUGUUGCCGCCGGCGUUGAGCCGCCGGCCUGUUUGGGUCAUUUGACCGAGGUUUGACCCCCCUGGGUCGAUGACAGGUGGGGCCAGCCCCCUGUUAAUUAGUUAGUUUAAUUUAAUUAAACAACCCCCCCUGCGGACACUGACAGUGGGCCCGACCCCCCCUAAUCUUUUAAUUAAACUAAAUAAACCCCUGUUAACCCCCUGUCACUGACCAGUGGGCCCCACUGGUCAGGUUUGACCCGGACCAGCCCCUGUUGACUAUGCUGAGGUCAGCAUGACCUAGUGCUGACGCAAUAAUUCCUUUCUGGAAUUUAGAUAAUUAUUAAAUGAUUUAUAAAUUCCAGAAAAUAACUAAAACUUCUAAAAUUCAUAGAAAAUUAACCGUAACUCCAAAUUUAAUAAAUUAUAUAUGAAAAAUCAUCAGAAAAAUUCAAGGAAUCCAUCUGUACCAUUUUCAUGCAUGUUAGAACAACUUAUCACUACUGUUUAGGGCAAAUCAAUUAAAGGGCAUUUAAAUAAUCACAUAUGGAGUUUGAAUUUGAAUCUUGUAUUCAAACCAACUUCAUUUAAUCUGUUGCUAGUUGCAUUAGCCCAAAACACAUUCAUUUUGCCAUGUCAUGAGCAUGCAUCAUAUUGUGCAUUGCAUUGAUUGUGUUCCUUUCUGUGUUGCCGGUAUUUGUCCCCUCUCGAUAGACGCGAUACCGAUGAUGUGAUCGUUGACACUGAUGAAGACUCAAUGUUAUCUUCAGAAGUGCCAGGCAAGCAAAACCCCCUUGUUCAUUCCGAUACAGUCCUACUCUCUCGCUCCUGCUCUCUUUUACUGCAUUAGGACAACACCGAUUCAUCUGUUACUUGCUGCGGUAGCUGAACCCCUUUAUCCUUUGCAUGACCUGUCAUUGCCACAGUAAAUAGAUGAAACCCACUAGCAUGAGUAGGAGUUGUUUGAGCCCUGAUGUGCCUACUCAUUCAUGUUUGUUUGUCAUGCCUGCUAUUGCUUAGAGUUGAGUCAGGUCUGAUUCAUCGGGGAUGAAUCAGAGGUGUGUGAACAUGUCCUACGGUGUGUGAGCUAAGCGUGUGAACACGAUUUGGUAAAGGUAGCGGUGAGAGGCCAUGUAGGAGUGCAUGGUGGGUUGUCUCAUUGCAGCCGUCCUCAGGAACUGAGUUCUGUGUUUGUGAUCCAUGAUUCAGCUACUACCACGCAUUGGGCCCGAAACCAAUGGACCCUCUCGGCUUCUUGACCACCCUUGUCCUCUGUCCAGGAGUUGCAAGUAGUUUCUGGUGUUUGUAGUAUGCUGGAGGCCGUGGGCAGCGCUGACCGUAGGGGUGGGCUGUGAUGCGGUAGGCACGUGGCACGGUGUACCGGGCGCCCGUUUGGUGUCUCGGGAACCCUGUUCACAUCGUUUGGGGCUGUGAGCGAAACUCCGGCCGGAUCUCCUCAUGGAUGGAACCCGAAUAGGCGAUAAACCUGGACUAGAGACUUGAGUGUUUAGGUAGGCCGUGGCCGACACCCACGUUGGGCUUCCGCUUGAAGGUUGCCGAGUACAUGUCGUGUAAACGGCGGUAAGUGGUGAGAGCGUGUGUGAAGAAGUACACCCCUGCAGGGUUAAUCUAAUCUAUUCGAAUAGCCGUGUCCGCGGAAAAGGACUUCUGGGUUGCUUAUAUCAGUUCAUAGACAAGUAAAAGUGGAUACCCUAAAAUACGCAAGAUAAGCGUGAGUGCUAUGGAUGGCGUUCUCGUAGGGAGACGGGAGCGGAUCCAUAGUGGUGUAUUGAUAUGGUGAAUAUGUGGACUCGUGUGCGCCACCUCAAAGAGUUACAUUGCAGUCGUAGUUUAGGAUAGCCACCGAGUCAGAGCUGGCUUGCUGCAGUCAAACUCCACCAUCCCCUUUGUUGAUAAUGAUGCAUAUGUAGAUAGAUCUGAUGUAAGUCUUGCUGGGUACAUUUGUACUCACGUUUGCCUAUUUUAUGUUUUGCAGAGAGACUUCAGUCUCACUAGUAGUUCCGCUUGGACUUCGACGUUUAGCUUGAUACCUCAGCUACGAUCUUGUGCCCUUGGCAGGAUCUGAUAGAUAGUCAGGCUUCUCAGCCUUUUUCAUUUAUAGAUGUCUGUACUCAGACAUGAUAGCUUCCGAUUGUGCUUUGACUUGUAUGCUCUGAUUGUUGGGUCGUGAGACCCAUGUUUGUAAUAUCUCGCUCCUCGGAGCCUAUUGAAUAAACUACUUGAGUCGUAGAGUCAUUUUGUGAUGCCAUGUUGUAUUGCACAUAUCGAGCAUAUUGUGUGUAUGUUAUUGAAAUGCUUGGUAUGUGUGGGAUCUGACCAUCUAGUUGUUUAUCUUUAGUAGCCUCUCUUACCGGGAAAUGUCUCCUAGUGUUUCACUGAGCCAUGGUAGCUUGCUACUGCUCCGGAACACUUAGGCUGGCCGGCAUGUGUCCUUCUUCGUUCCUGUGUCUGUCCCUUCGGGGAAAUGUCACGCUUUGAGUACCGGAGUCCUGUUAGCCCGCUACAGCCCGAUUUACCGGAGUCCUGCUAGCCCAGUGCUACAGCCCGGACCCAUUUGCUGAUGACCGACACGUUCGAAGCUGGGUCAUGGAUGCCUGUCCCUGUAAGUCUGUGCCACUUUGGGUUUACGACUAGUCAUGUCAGCCCGGGCUCUUUAUCAUAUGGAUGCUAGCGACACUAUCAUAUACGUGAGCCAAAAGGCGCAAACGGUCCCGGGCAAAGGUAAGGCGACACCCGUGGGAAUACCGUGCGUGAGGCCGCAAAGUGAUAUGAGGUCUUACAUGCUAGACCUAUGUGGCAUCGAGUCGGGGUCCUGACAGCGUUGGUAUCAGAGCUUGACUGCCUGUAGGAUUACCAAGCCAAACUGGUCGAAGUUGAGUCUAGAAAUUCUUUAGUUAUAUAAGGGAAUUGAUUGUGGGAUGGAACGUAAGGCUCUUUUUACUCCUUAUACCUCAUGCCCUUCUGAUCUGAGUCAUCUUAUCUUUCCCGCGGGGAUUAAGAACUAGGCUAUCUCUUCUUUCUAUUAGGAUCACGUGUUACCAAUCCGUAGACCUAUAGAAUUGUUGGACUUAAGCCUCGUUUCAGUUCCUAUUACUUCCGUAUGUUAAAUUGUUGAUCUCGAAACCUUGAUAUUGUGCCUUUGAGUGGUUAUGCCACCAUUUUUGUGAAUGUCUCAAAUCUUUUCUGAGCAUUUACAGCCGUUAUGCUGUCCGAGUCACCCCACGUUUCUGAAUAGUCUGAAGCAUUUGCAAAAUUCCUUCCUCCCAUUCCGAUGUUCCUUUGGGCCAGAUUAACCACACUAAUCGGUGAGUUGAGGUAAAUUAUUGCCUUGACAUAUAUGUUGGAGCUAUUAUUAUGACCCUAGGUGUUUUAGGGAGUCACCUAGUAAUCUAGCAAUGUUUUGUGUCCCAGUGUGAUGAUUCUGGCUUUUAUUCUCGAAAGCAUCCCGUGAUGCCACUUAGUAGUAGGUAUUCUACUCCUUGGGCUUUGAACCCGAGAUUCACUCUACUUACUUCAUGUUGAUAGUGUUUGCUAGUUCCUUUAGGAUAUUAGUAACCUUUGCGAUAGUCCUUAAAGUCUGUGGUAUCUUCUUCUUCCAAAUACCAUGAACUACUUAUGGCAGAAGUUCCUCGUUGAACUGAAAUAUCACAACAGGAUUAUUCUUGAUGAGUUCUCCGUUAUAUAUUGUGACUCUGCCAGUUCUACUUUUCUGCAUGGGUUAUCCGGAAGAAACAUGUGGAAUUCGUUCGACAUGCUAAACCAUGCAUCCACAACUCAGAAAAUCAUAUGUUCCUUGAGUUGUCUCUCUUUAGUUGCAUUCUGACCCUCGUCUAUCAAUUGAUAGCCAAGAGUAUGCGUGCGUUCGUUUAUCGAUGCCUAUUACUCUUGUGGUCCGUCAAGCCAUUCUAUCGCAGAAUGACUAGGAGAAACAAACUCCAGUACCUCUUCCAUAUCCAGGAUUGGGUCAGAGAAGUUGUGCUCCGCAGAUCAAAUUGCUAAUCCAGCUUUCGUUCUGUUCUACCUUGGAGUAUUACCAUCUUUAAAUCGGGAUUGUUAUAGGAAUUGCACCCCAUCCUAUGAACUCCUGGUACAGUGAUACUUCUUGCCAUCACUGUUCAUUCCUCGGUUCCUGUGUUAUCGUAACCGGAAUACCGACAAAUGAAUUGUGAUGUGUGAAAUCAAUACUCCCAGCAACCUCGUUGCUUGGUAGUUAAAGGACAAUAAUUUCAUUCUUAGUGUGUUGGUUAUUGAAUCAUCAUUCUAAGAUUGAUCGUGCUACCUAGUCCAUUCUCCUGGUUCACUCCUCGAUCGAUGAGUUAGGAUUAUUUCAAAUUCUUACUCUAUUGAUCAUAUCGUCUUGCCCUGAAAAGCAAGAUUGUUCUCGAGCUUAGUAACAUACCGGUGGCUCGUGAUUCUCUGAAUAUCUUCUCAGAAGUAUUACCAGGUUGUCACCUGACCGCUAUGUCGAGCUCGUGAUCAAGUUGGUUUUUGUGAACCAUCCUUCUCCAAGAAUCUGUGUUGGAUAUCCCUGAGCUAGUUGGUUAAGUUAGACAACGACUUGGAGAGUUGGAAGAUAAAAGCUUGCUUGACUUAGUUCGUUCCAAAGGGAUAUUCUUGUGUAGUGUGUGUUGAAGAAAGAUGAUAUCUUCAUCGAUUGGUCCCUGUGAUCAGUUGCUGGAUCUAUUGUCUUAUCAAUCCUUUGAUUUGAGUGUGGGCUAUCGUCAAAUCAAAUCAGAACCAACGAUAUUCGUAAUGUUGUCUUACUCGUGGUUGAUUCCUCGAGCAUACACCAUUAUAUCUUUGGUCUGACCAAUGCUAUCACCGUGUUCACUUAACUAUGGAAUUCCUUUUAAAAGGAAACCUAGAUGAAUUGUUGUUGAGCCCAUUGACAACAUCCUUAUCUCCUCCAUAAUUUUGUUGAACAUUAAGCUAGUGUUGGAAAUUUUUGAGAGCAUUUGUUCAUGCUAGCUCAUGAAGCAUAUGUUUGGAUGAAGGUAGUGACUUCCUUUAAUUCAUGUGCAUCUGAUGCAAGUUGCCGCCGUGGAUUCGAGAAAGUCAAUGUUGUUUUCUUGGAACCAUUCUAAAUCAGUCAUGCACACGUGCGAAGAAUUCUGUGGUUCGGAGACUUGCAACCUCCAUUCCAUAUGUAUACCCUAGCACACCAAGCCACUGAUUGUUUUGUUCACGGAAAAGGAGUUGAUGUGCUAAUCCUAGGUCAUGCACAAGACUUCCAUAUCCUCGAUUAUGGUUCCCAACCAGAACUUGGUAGUGUUUUAUUAUAAGACUACCACGUGGUCAUGUUUGUCUGGGACAGCGUGUUCACAUGUUUGUAGCAGAACCAGCUCAUGUUUUGGAGCUUGCUAUCGUAGUUCAUCUCCCGAGAAUCCCGCAACGUCAUCUCGUCGAUUUGUGUUGCAAACUUUCGUUUUUCUUCCUAGACUCGAUGAGUCUGGAAUAUCCUGACACCAACCAGAUCUGAAUCUCAGGCAGAUAUGAUGGUUUGGAACAUUUCCCAAGAACUAUAAUAUUGGUCUCGCGAUAACCGAUAAAGUGGAUGUCAUGGCCAACACACCCAGCCGGAAGACCUAUUAUUGUAGUAUCUUGAUUGAAGAAGUUGGCCACCCCCCCCUAGGGAUUUCGUAGGAUUUACUCCCUAGUUGCCCCUAUGGAUUUUUGUGUUCCCGAAGUCCGACCUUUUACUUGAUGUUUUAGAUAUCAAACCAUAUCUAUGAAUGGGUUAUACUAGCACAUCAAGGAGAACAUUAGAAGCGGAGUGCUAAAUGUCUCUCGGUCGAUCAUCCAGAUUUUAUUUGCUUGGCCUCGCUAAGGUGAAAUCUGAGAAAGUGUUAUCCUCCUUCGCAUCUGCAUCGUCCAUCGCUAUUCAUCAUGGUAGUAUGUUGUGUUGUCAGCACCCUUGACGCGGUUGUUGGUAAACCCUUGAUGAAUAUGGAAAUGCUCAAGUUCUUGAGAGCACGCACAAGCUCUAGGUGUUACCGUCGACACUAACUAGGUUUGCUCUCAACUUCCUCGGAAAUGCUAUGACCUCUUCAAACAGUGAAUUCACUCCCUAUUGUUGGGUUCCUCCCCAGUUACCAGAAUCAUUCCCAGCAUUUGCAUUUUGUUCCCAGCUUGCACCGCCAAUGUGCCAUUCUACCACGGGUCUCUUCCAUCUCCGGUGAUAAGGAAAUUCAUCCACUACGUUGUCUUCAACAAGGUAAUCCACAUCAUCCAAGUCCGAGUAUGCCAUUCUACCGGCCCCCUCCAAAUGAUCGCUCGAGAAUUGCCUUAGGCUGGUUUAGAGAGUCUAAAUGAUCUCUAUAUCAAAGGUAAUUCUUUUUGCCACUUAAGGGGAUAUUUCUACGAGUCACCGUCCCUAAGGUGCCUCGCUGUGGUAUCAUGGCAACUCAACUCUUCGCUACGUUGGCAAUCGUUUACCACCUUCUUAAGCGUGGAAUCGUUGUCCACCUAGUGAACCUUCGUCAUCUGUUCCACUCCAUUUCUUCAAAUCUGUGCUUCGUCUCCCAGCUCAAGAGAUGUUGCUAUGUCUCAUUCCGUGAGUUGUUCGAUCUUCGAGAAGAUCGACCCUUCUAGAGUCUCCUUCUUCCCUCCAUGUCAUGUGGCAGGAUUUCUCAGAGCAAGACGACAAGGCAAAGAUGGUGAAUGAAUCAACGUUCAAUUGAAGUGCACCCUGGAUCGUGAAGAUUAUACUAGUUGCGUUUUCCUUCACCUUACCCUACGCUUGAAUCUCGAGACGAGAUUCUUGUUUAGUGGGGGGUGAGUUGUCACAUCCCUAGCUCUACCUUGGCCUUGUACUAGCUUGGUUGAUGCAUCAUGUUUAAAUUCAAAUGAAAUUUGAACUGAGGAAUUCAGAAGCCUCAAAACCCUAAUUAAAAGAAGGGCAAGCAACCCUUAAAUUGCAUUCUGUGAAUCCAAAAUGCCCUAAAAAUAGUUUUGUGAAUUUUGGCAAGGGUUAUACAUCAAACCAAAAUUCUGGAAUAUUUUUAAGGAAUUACUUGGUCUCUGAAUUUAAAUAAAUAAUCUAUUUGAAUUUGGGGAUAUAUUCAUAAUAUAUAAUGAAUAUAUUUUCAAAUGCUUUGAAAUAUUUUAUGUACUUUUGGAAUAGUCCAGAGAGGUAACAUAAAAUAUUUCAGAAUGUUUUGGCACUGUAUGAAAUUAUUUUGAAUUUGAAAACAGUGGCAAAAUAAAAUAAAAAGGGAAACAGAACAGAAAAAAAUAAAAGGAGCAAAGCUUACCUGUGCAGCCCACCAGAGCCGGCCCAGCUCCUGUGCUGGUCCAGCACUGUGCGGCCCAGCCCACCGCGGUCGCCACCGUCUUCAACCUCCUGCCAGUAGGCAGGAGGGCGUGUGCCCGACGCGCGCGCGCACGCUCCGGCCACCUCCUGCUUACCCGCUCGCCGCUGGAGGCACCCGAGGGCGCCACGCACUCCCCCUCGCCCCCUGCACCUCCCCUCUCUUCCCCUGGACCCCGUUCCCUCCUCUGCUCUCUCCCUGCACGCGCCCGAGCGGAGCUCGUCGUCGCCGACGCCGUUCGCCGUAGCCACCGUGCUCCUCACUGCCACCCGAAGUACCCAGAAGAUCCGCCCCGACCCCCUCUUCCUCCUCGCCGAGAAGCACACCGCGGGAGCCCCUGCAUCACCGCUAUCGCCGUCGUCUUCUACCUCGGACCCGCCGGCCAUCUUCGUCAAAUUCGUCGGCUCCGGUGCCUCCCCGAGCUCCCCGAGGCCACCGUCGCAACCCCUGUGAGCUUGCCUUCGUUUCCCCUCAUCUCUCUCCCUCGCGUGCACCCUGUAGCCGCCGCCCCACGAGCACCCGAAGCUGCCGUCCGCCAUGGCCGGUGAGCUCCGUGCUCCCGAGCUCCUCCGCCUGCGCUCGUUGUCUCCGGGUGUUCCUGGUGACCCCAGCAUCCCGUAGAGCCCAUCAGCUGACCUCGCCGUGCCGUGUAACGCCGAACCCGAGCACGCCCGAGCUCCGGCCGCCGCUGCCGAGCUCGGGGCCAUCGUCCCCGGCCGCCCUAGCUGCUGCUGCUUGCUGAAACGGGUGCGGGUGAGCUCCAGCUCCCCGUAGCCGCUCUCCUCCGUCCAUUUGGACGCCGGAGGAGCGAUCCCGAAGCCCUCCGCCGUGCCUGUUGCCGCCGGCGUUGAGCCGCCGGCCUGUUUGGGUCAUUUGACCGAGGUUUGACCCCCCUGGGUCGAUGACAGGUGGGGCCAGCCCCCUGUUAAUUAGUUAGUUUAAUUUAAUUAAACAACCCCCCCUGCGGACACUGACAGUGGGCCCGACCCCCCCUAACCUUUUAAUUAAACUAAAUAAACCCCUGUUAACCCCCUGUCACUGACGUGUGGGUCCCACACGUCAGGUUUGACCCGGGGCAGCCCUGUUGACUUGCUGAUGCAAGCAUGACGCAGUGCUGAUGUCAUAACUCAUUUUCUGGAUUUAAUUUAAUUCUGAAAUUUCAGAAAAUGCCUAAAACUUCAAUAAAUCAUAGAAAAUUAACCGUAACUCCAAAUUAAAUAAAUUAUAUAUGAAAAAUUAUCAGAAAAAUUCAAGGAAUCCAUCUGUACCAUUUUCAUGCAUGUUAGAACAACUUAUCACUACUGUUUAGGGCAAAUCAAUUAAAGGACAUUUAAAUAAUCACAUAUGGAGUUUGAAUUUGAAUCUUGUAUUCAAACCAACUUCAUUUAAUCUGUUGCUAGUUGCAUUAGCCCAAAACACAUUCAUUUUGCCAUGUCAUGAGCAUGCAUCAUAUUGUGCAUUGCAUUGAUUGUGUUCCUUUCUGUGUUGCCGGUAUUUGUCCCCUCUCGAUAGACGCGAUACCGAUGAUGUGAUCGUUGACACUGAUGAAGACUCAAUGUUAUCUUCAGAAGUGCCAGGCAAGCAAAACCCCCUUGUUCAUUCCGAUACAAUCCUACUCUCUCGCUCCUGCUCUCUUUUACUGCAUUAGGACAACACCGAUUCAUCUGUUACUUGCUGCGGUAGCUGAACCCCUUUAUCCUUUGCAUGACCUGUCAUUGCCACAGUAAAUAGAUGAAACCCACUAGCAUGAGUAGGAGUUGUUUGAGCCCUGAUGUGCCUACUCAUUCAUGUUUGUUUGUCAUGCCUGCUAUUGCUUAGAGUUGAGUCAGGUCUGAUUCAUCGGGGAUGAAUGAGAGGUGUGUGAACAUGUCCUACGGUGUGUGAGCUAAGCGUGUGAACACGAUUUGGUAAAGGUAGCGGUGAGAGGCCAUGUAGGAGUACAUGGUGGGUUGUCUCAUUGCAGCCGUCCUCAGGAACUGAGUUCUGUGUUUGUGAUCCAUGAUUCAGCUACUACCACGCAUUGGGCCCGAAACCAAUGGACCCUCUCGGCUUCUUGACCACCCUUGUCCUCUGUCCAGGAGUUGCAAGUAGUUUCUGGUGUUUGUAGUAUGCUGGAGGCCGUGGGCAGCGCUGACCGUAGGGGUGGGCUGUGAUGCGGUAGGCACGUGGCACGGUGUACCGGGCGCCCGUUUGGUGUCUCGGGAACCCUGUUCACAUCGUUUGGGGCUGUGAGCGAAACUCCGGCCGGAUCUCCUCAUGGAUGGAACCCGAAUAGGCGAUAAACCUGGACUAGAGACUUGAGUGUUUAGGUAGGCCGUGGCCGACACCCACGUUGGGCUUCCGCUUGAAGGUUGCCGAGUACAUGUCGUGUAAACGGCGGUAAGUGGUGAGAGCGUGUGUGAAGAAGUACACCCCUGCAGGGUUAAUCUAAUCUAUUCGAAUAGCCGUGUCCGCGGAAAAGGACUUCUGGGUUGCUUAUAUCAGUUCAUAGACAAGUAAAAGUGGAUACCCUAAAAUACGCAAGAUAAGCGUGAGUGCUAUGGAUGGCGUUCUCGUAGGGAGACGGGAGCGGAUCCAUAGUGGUGUAUUGAUAUGGUGAAUAUGUGGACUCGUGUGCGCCACCUCAAAGAGUUACAUUGCAGUCGUAGUUUAGGAUAGCCACCGAGUCAGAGCUGGCUUGCUGCAGUCAAACUCCACCAUCCCCUUUGUUGAUAAUGAUGCAUAUGUAGAUAGAUCUGAUGUAAGUCUUGCUGGGUACAUUUGUACUCACGUUUGCCUAUUUUAUGUUUUGCAGAGAGACUUCAGUCUCACUAGUAGUUCCGCUUGGACUUCGACGUUUAGCUUGAUACCUCAGCUACGAUCUUGUGCCCUCGGCAGGAUCUGAUAGAUAGUCAGGCUUCUUAGCCUUUUUCAUUUAUAGAUGUCUGUACUCAGACAUGAUAGCUUCCGAUUGUGCUUUGACUUGUAUGCUCUGAUUGUUGGGUCGUGAGACCCAUGUUUGUAAUAUCUCGCUCCUCGGAGCCUAUUGAAUAAACUACUUGAGUCGUAGAGUCAUUUUGUGAUGCCAUGUUGUAUUGCACAUAUCGAGCAUAUUGUGUGUAUGUUAUUGAAAUGCUUGGUAUGUGUGGGAUCUGACCAUCUAGUUGUUUAUCUUUAGUAGCCUCUCUUACCGGGAAAUGUCUCCUAGUGUUUCACUGAGCCAUGGUAGCUUGCUACUGCUCCGGAACACUUAGGCUGGCCGGCAUGUGUCCUUCUUCGUUCCUGUGUCUGUCCCUUCGGGGAAAUGUCACGCUUUGAGUACCGGAGUCCUGUUAGCCCGCUACAGCCCGGUUUACCGGAGUCCUGCUAGCCCAGUGCUAUAGCCCGGACCCAUUUGCUGAUGACCGACACGUUCGAAGCUGGGUCAUGGAUGCCUGUCCCUGUAAGUCUGUGCCACUUUGGGUUUACGACUAGUCAUGUCAGCCCGGGCUCUUUAUCAUAUGGAUGCUAGCGACACUAUCAUAUACGUGAGCCAAAAGGCGCAAACGGUCCCGGGCAAAGGUAAGGCGACACCCGUGGGAAUACCGUGCGUGAGGUCGCAAAGUGAUAUGAGGUGUUAUAUGCUAGACCUAUGUGGCAUCGAGUCGGGGUCCUGACAGAAAUCAUCGCCAUCAUCAUCACCAACGCUUCUCUCAUCGGGAGAGGGCAAUCUCCAUCAGCAUCUUCAUCGGCACCAUCUCAUCUAAAAACCCUAGUUCAUCUCUUGUAUCCAAUUCUUGUCUCUAAGUCCAGGAUUGGUGCUAGUAGGUUGCUAGUAGUGUUAAUUACCCCUUGUAGUUGAUGCUAGUUGGUUUAAUUGGUGGAAGAUCAUAUGUUCAGAUCCUAUAUGCAUAUUAAUACCCCUCUGAUUAUGAACAAUGUUUAUGCUUUGUGAGUAGUUACUUUUGUUCCUGAGGACAUGGGAUAAGUAUUGCUAUUAGUAGUCAUGUGAAUUUGGUAUUCGUUUGAUAUUUUGAUGAGAUGUAUGUUGUCUCUCCUCUAGUGGUGUUAUGUGAACGUCGACUACAUGACACUUCACCAUUAUUUGGGCCUAGAGGAAGGCAUUGGGAAGUAAUAAGUAGAUGAUGGGUUGCUAGAGUGACAGAAGCUUAAACCCUAGUUUAUGCGUUGCUUCGUAAAGGGCUGAUUUGGAUCCAUAUGUUUCAUGUUAUGGUUAGGUUUACCUUAAUACUUUUGUUGUAUUUUGCGGAUGCUUGCAAUAGAGGUUAAUCAUAAGUGGGAUGCUUGUCCAAGUAAGGGCAGCACCCAAGCACCGGUCCACCCACAUACCAAAUUAUCAAAGUGCCGAAUAUGAAUCAUAUGAACGUGAUGAAAACUAGCUUGACGAUAUUUCCAUGUGUCCUCGGGAGCGCUUUACAUCAUAUAAGAGUUUGUCCAGGCUUGUCCUUUGCUACAAAAGGAUUGGGCCACCUUGCUGCACUUUAUUUACUUUUGUUACUUGUUGCUAGUUACAAAUUAUCCUAUCACAAAACUAUCUGUUACCACUUAUUUCAGUACUUGCAGAGAAUACCUUGCUGGAAACCGCUUAUCAUUUCCUUCUGCUCCUCGUUGGGUUCGACACUCUUACUUAUCGAAAGGACUACGAUAGAUCCCCUAUACUUGUGGGUCAUCACCUAACUGGGUGAGGUGGUUCGCCUUCGAGCACGAGGAGGCGAGGCGACGCGGCGUGCGGGAGGUCGACCGCAGCGUGCCGCCGCCCUCGCUCAUCGUCCGGGAGGAAGACCAGGCGGUCCCUUGCGGCGGUCUACAUCGAGAGCGAGGAGGACGAGCGGCGCAGGGUGGAGGCGGUGGAGGAAGAGGAGGCUCGCUACGAGGCGGCCAUGGCGUAGGCCCUCGCCCUCUCCGCGGCCGGCGAUUGCGUGGAGCCGUCGGUGGACCUGUCGUCCCCUCCCCGACGGCUCGUCAAGGCCGACCCGGAGCCGCAGCCGGAGCCGGAGCCCAUCGUGCACUUCUCCUGGACGGGAGUGGUGCGCGGGUGGGUGUCCGCGCCACCGAUUUGGAUGGGGGCGACCCUGGCGCAGGAGGCGGCGUACCUCGAGAUGUGGCGCCAGCGACGGCUCGCCGAGGAGCGCCGUCGCGGCGAGUACAAGGAGAUGCUCGAGCGCGACCUCGAGGAGGAGGCGCGUCAAGCCACGGCUGCACAGGCGGCCGCACAGCCCUCCGCGCCAGCACUGCCCGCGCCGGAACAGCUGCCCGCGGCCUACAUCGCCGUCGCCUGAAACGUGGCGUUCCCCUGGGUCGGCCCUGCGUCGACGCUCAUCGACCUCACCCACCCCGAGGACGACGACGCCUAGGGCGCGCUGGGCAGCGCGCCGCCUCGUAGUUAGGUUGUUUAUAAUUUCUUUUAAUGCUAAUGUGGACGCGUGGACUCUUGCCGGCCUUCCUGGCCGGUUUUGAUGUUUAAUUAAGUUGUUUUCAUUUGAAAUAUGCAUGCACAGCUUCUUUUGUCGGCGCCGUAAAAAUGGGUUGGGCAAGCGUUGGGCACAUACACCGACCUAAACACCGAAGCGGACAUUCGUGUUCGCCUGACCGAUCCAAACGAAUAAAAAGCAGACGAAAUUACCGUUUGGGUCGGCCCAUUGGAUUUGCUGAGAGUCCAAUUUGCAGGAAGCGCGGGUGAUUCUGUUCCGCUAGCUUGGCGUACAAGAGAUCCAAUUGCUUGUGUCUAGGCAGAAAUUGUGGAACCUCGACUUCAGGAUGUCUUCGGGUUUUCUAGUGCGUGUGAGAGUGUGAGCGCGUUGCCUGGGUGGGUGGGCCACACUUAUAUAAAAAUCUAUUAUGUUAGAGGAUCUACAAUCAGAGCCCUUAAAUCCGCCUAAUUGCCCGGACGCAUCCGCUGCGUAGGACGGACAAACUACAGGAGCACGCGCCAAUUCGCAUAUCUCCACCUUCUUCCUUGCCCGACCAACCCUUUUCUCUUCUUUUUUCUCCCUCGUUCGCACAACCAUCACCGGAGUUCCGCCGCCAACUUUGCAUCGCCAUCAUCCUCAACUCAGGGCUUCGCCACCGGAGGCUCCUACCCACACCGCCGCCAAUUGUGCCGCAACCGGUCAAUGUCGUCGCCACUAGACGCUGCCCUGGUACGUCCAACUCUCCCCUAUAUACACCUUGUGUUCUAGGUGUUUGACGAAAUGUCUGAGCCGGUUUUUAUUCUUUUGGUCUCUACUUGUAGGUCAUUGAUGGAUUUGUCGUGGAAUGAUGGCUACGGGAACCCCGAUUUUGACGAAUUCAUAUUCUGUACAAUUUUUUUAUGUAUUUGUUUGAAACUGAAAUGUUUGAAUUUAAAAAAACAUUCAUUUCGGCCUCCAUGGAGGCCGAGUUCCAAAACACCCCACUCAUCCCUACUAACAUAUUAUCUCAACAUGCAACUAUGUCACUUCGUCGUGCAAAUAUAUACGGAAAAUGAUCUGCCUCAACAUGCAACAUGAUGUAAAAAAGGCUCAAAUGUCUUAAUUAUCUUGUGCUACUUACGUUUACUAAAUAUUUUACAAUUAGACGCUACUUUAAGUUGUAGUUCUUACAUUAUUAAUCUAAAUACUCAUUCAUAUAAUCAAAUUUUACCAAAAUACACUAUAAAUAAUCUGCAUAGCAACUCGCGAGAUAUCAUCUAACUCUAAAUGCCGACUAUCGUCAACUUUGUCCUUACACUUAGUUUGUCAAGGUGCAUACAUAUUUUUUGUGAUGCUUGUAUCUGUAGCAUUUAGAAGAUGCACUUAAUCUAUUACUUGAUUUAACCACAAAGAAGUGCAAAUGACAUGUGGGGUACAUUAGUUUACGUGCUCAUACGUCUCAAAUGUAUCUAUAAUUUUUAUCGUUUUAUGUUAUUAUCAUACCAUGUUUACAUAUUUUUAUAACAAAUUUAUAUUAUUUUCAUGGACUAACCUAUUAAUUCAGUGCACAGAGCUUGUUGUUGUUACUACAUGUUUUUGGUUUACAGAAAAUCGAUAUCUCUAGACCUUAAAAUACCCUCGGGAUUUUUGAUGAUUUUUUUGGAGGACGAAGCUUUCAGAAAGCACUGGAAGGAGCCAGGAGCCACUAGACAGCCAAGCCUCCGACACGCCUUUCACCCAUAUUUUUCCUAUAAAUCUUAUUACUCUCAAAACAAUUUGUACCAUUUUUCGUGAUUUUUCCCCGCUGCCACAAGUUCCUCUUCCAAGGAAAUCCAAUCUGGGGGUCUGUUCCGACGAGCUGCCAGAGGGGCAUCCGUCACCGGAGCCAUCCUCCUCAACCUUGCUAUCACCAUGACCAUGUGUGAGUAGUUUUAUUAGGACCUUGGGUUCAUAGCAGUAGUUAGAUGGCAUCCUCUCUCCCUUGUGAUUCGAUACAAAGUUUCUGUCAGCUGCCUCACACAAUUGGAUCCCUAUGAUGUAAUCAGUGUUGUGUUUGUUGGGAUGUGAUGAAUUGGCACUUUAUGAUCGGAUUUGUUCAUGAAUUAUAUUGAAUUUCUUAUGGUUUCUUUGCUGCAUAAUUAAGUAGUCGUAUAUGCUUUUGGGUCUAUUUGUCUUCUUCGACCAAGUUUGAUGUGCAGAUCUUCGGAGGGGGUUGUGUAUGGCAGUGAGUUCAAUCUUGCGGUGUUCUAUAUCCCAGUGACAAUAAGGGACAAGACAUGUAUUGUAUUGUUGCUACUAAGGAUAAAAUGAUGGUUUCUUUAUCAUAGUCGGAUGAUAGUUUUAAUUAUUGUCUAUAUUAUGUCAUCAUGCUUAUUGUAAUGCUUUGUUUGUACAAACUUAAUAUCUCGAGAUGCAUGCUCGAUAGCGGUCUUUGAGUGGAGUAUCAGUUGUAUAUGCAUUUGGAUUAAUGGUCUAUAUAUCACGGCCUUAAUGCCUAUACAAGAUUGUGUCAUGAAUGCUCGUAGUGGUAAAUAUAAAUAUUACAAUUUAAUCAAUGUCAAACUGUAUUUUGUUCACCACAACACAUUUAUCCUACUUUGAGAGACGCCUCUAUUGAAUCUAUGGCCCCGGGUCUUUUUUCCUUAAUUUCAAUCAUGAUUAUCAUUUUAUUUUCUUGUUGUAUCCUUUUAUUUAUUUUAUCUAUUUAUCAAUUCCUAUCAUACCAUAUAAUUUACCCUUGUAGCUAGCAAGAUAAGAAGAUUGACAAAACAUUCUUGAAUCAUUAGGGACAAGUUUGUUUUGUGUGUUGUGUGUAGGUACCAACCAUUAGUUUUUGCAGAGAUAAUCCUACUGAUUCGGUAAACCUUGGUUCUCAAUCAGUGAAAUAAUUAUUGCUAGGUCACGUCACUCUUAUACUUGGGGGUCACCAACAACUCAUACAGGAGACCAAGCAAGAUUUGUGAAGGCAUUGCCGUUACCACUUUGAUUUCUUGUUAUCUAUCUUUGUUAGUUAUAUUUUAUAUAUCGUUUGUUUGCUUUGAUGCUAUUCACAAAAAACUCAAAAUACCAAAAAUAUUUCAAUAUUAUCCUCCUUUUACCUUGUUAUAACAAUAACAUCAUGGAUAUGGGAUCUACAAUUUCUAAAGUUUUCGAACAUGCUAAUAAUAAAUAGAUUAUAGAGGAAGGGUUAUUGGAAUAAACAUCCACGAGCGCUUCGGCCCCACAACCAGCAACGAAGAGGAGGAGCAACAGCUCGCGGUCGUUGCUCAUUGCUCUGAGGAGGAGAACGACGACUUUGCCUACAUCGAUGGGUUGUCAGGCGAGGAGGAUGAGGAGGACAAUUUUUUUUUGACGGUGCUACGGCGGGCUUACGCCAGCCUGAACCAUUUUCAUUAUAGAUAAGACUGAGAUACAACACGACAGUUACAACAGAUAUCACCCGACACACAGGAGAAGGAACCAGGAACAACAGAAUACAAGAUGGAACAAGGAACAACAGAAAAAGAACCAGAAGCGAGCUAUGACAAGCAGCCAACACCAAGAACUUAGCAUCCAUCACCAUCAGUGGACCGAGAAGAGCGGGAACUAGCUUUGUUGGAUCCGUCGAAAGGACAUCCGCCACCGAGAAGACGUAGAGAAGAAGUUACCUGCUACCAUGCGAUCUCUGCACCUUGAAGAGCUAGGAGAUCGUAGCCACCAUCGAAGAGCAUCCUGCUGCCUAGGAACGUCGCGGCAGAGAAAGCCACAGACCGUGCCGAAGGGCAAUUUUCCGCCGAGAUAGCCCUACACCUCCUCUGAGCCACACCACGGCCACCAUCACAAAUAGAGAGAACCAUAGCACUCCGCAGGCCACCAAACCUCAAAAGCCAUCGAAGGGUGCCCAAAACCGUGACCUCACCGUUGCCACGAGCCCCAAAAAGAGAAGUCAACCAUCAGCAUAGGAUGACCAAGGUACUGGUCGCCAUCAUAGUGCACCUCACCGCCACCGCCCUACAAACCAGCAACCUGAACCAACACUCCAGCCCAGACAUCAGACAACCAACCGCGGAUCCCUGGUUCCUGAAACGACGCCCCCAAGGGGGAAACAACAUGGAAGAUGUCGUCGUCAUCCGAUCCAGAGAAGGAUCUGAGGCUUUCACCCGAAACACGGAGAAAUAGCCGGCAACGGUAGCUCCCCAAUGAUGCCUUCACGAAGGGACACGGCGCCAGGAGACGUCGUCAUCAUCGUUGCCGACGAGGUCGGCAAUAGGCUUUCGCCCGAAGCAUCCCAGCCCGGCCGACUCCGCAAACGCCGGCCACCGAGUCCGGCGGCGCUAGACCUUCCCCUCUCCUGCCAGUCCACGGCGAGCGUCCCCGCUUGGUCCAGCAAGAGUCAUCCGCAAACACAGCCGCUCACCUCGAGCACCUGCACAGACAGAGUUGGUUCUGUCUCGGCUGCCACCUGCGCCCAACCCCUCACCGCCGGCCACAACACCACACCACCACACGCCUACCCCGCCGACAGCAGCCACCACCGACCCCCCAGCCACAACCAUGGAGAGCACCAGUCGUGCGAGCCACCGCCCCAGAAGGAUCCAGAUCUGGGCGAAGAGAGGCACCCAGACCAGGCAUGGCAGUCACCAGGCACCGCCAUGGCCUGCUCACCACGCUGCGCUGACCACCACACCCGCCUACGCCACCAGCCCCCAGUCGCGGCCGCAGGGACCGCCGGCCAAGGGAACGGGCCGCUGUUCGAAGGGAGCGGAAUCUGGAGCUCCCCUGGGCAGAGCGGCGUCGGAUCCUUGGAGACCCAGCUGCCCACACCUCCGCGCCGCUCGCGCCGGCGCACUGCGCCACCAUUGCCGGUGCGCGCCCCCGACCGCCCGCGAGUCCCCGUCGCCGGCCAGCGUCCCGCGCCGCCACGCCUGGAGAAGAGGAGGGAGAGCCGUCUUGCCCGGGGACGCCCUCCGGCGGCGGCGGGAGGAGGAGGGGGGAGGCGAGGGUGGCUGUCGGCGGCGGCUGGGGUUUAUCCCGAGCCGCCCGUGAGAGCGACACGGGAGGCGAGAUCUCUCAGACUACGUUUGACUGUGUACCGAUGAGGAGGACAAUGACUAGGCGGCGGUGGAAACGGCGUAGUGAAGGUAGUAGUAGUUUGCAAUGUCGAUUAGGGGCAUUGUAUAUUUUGAAAAUGCCGCUUAACGAUAUUUCAAGUCGUAAAAAUAUAUGUAAUAAUACGACUUUUGGCCACUAACAUAUAGUAGUUGCUAAUUAUGUCUAUCGCAUUUGGUGACAAUUAUGAGCUGUUUGGCUGCAAAAGAAAAUUGCUACUUGAAUUGAAACUAAAAUCAGGAGAGCAGAUAAAAAAAAUGCCGUUUGGUGAUUUUGUAUUUGCGCACAAGCCGACAGCCUUCAAAUUCAAAUUAUUAUGAAACGCAGUCCAUAUAGCCAGCGGACCACGAUUCAAAUUAUGGCAACUCUUCUAGAGCUGCUCUUAUAUUUCCAACACACCAUUUAUUCACCUGAGGCGUGUCUAGGAGCACAUAUCCAUGGCAUGCCUCCACGCUAAUGACACAAUCACGAACCAACAUAUUCACACGCGACACACGUACACACACAUGCAAUGGACACAUCACUUGGCGCUGAACCCAGAGAAGAAGCGGUUGAUGGCGGGGAAGACCUCCGGGCGGUGCGCGCUGACGAAGCGGCGGAAGGCGUGCUGGCUGUACCUCUCGCCCUCCUCCUCGUUCUCCGGCACCGCGCUCUGCCGGUUGCUCUUGCUCACCCUGAACAAAGCAAGAGAGCAAAACGGUUAACCACAUGCAUGCAUCGAAAUUCGAAAUGAUCCGAUCGAUCGAUCGGGGCGGCUUGGAGGCCUCACCUGACGUCCGGGUUGAGGAAGACGUUCCGGGUGAGCUGGAAGAUGCACAUCCCCGUCACCAGCGACAUGGCGCCGAUCAGCGGGUAAACCUGCACCACCACCAGGAUCGUUAAGGCAAGAUACAAAAAUAACUCUGAAGUAAUCGAACGGUCUUGCACGUACAUCUGGCUUCAACCAACGGCCCAUGUCGUCGUCGCCUGGCCUAGCGUUGCGCUCUGCGAUGAUCUAAACUCUGAUGAAAGACGCUGCUGCUAUCUUCUUUUCCCUCGUGUUCUUCUUCCCGGCCAAUGGUUUGCCCGUUGUUUGUAUGCAGAGAUAUAUAUACAUACAUACAUACAUGCCGUGCGUACGUGGGGCGGCGUCCAGCGAGGAGAGGGGGCUGCGACGACGCCUCGGACGACCGAUUUCUGUGGGCGAGCGCGGGAUCUAUCGAGAAACCAUGAGCGGCCUGCGGUUUUUGGAGCUCGUUCGUCAAAGGUUGAACAGUUCCCGUGUCAGGUCAGCCCGCCCGCCUCUCUCCCGCGGCCGAUGCCAGGCCGGGUCAACGUUGCCGCACUGCCUAUGCGUCGUCAUCGUAUCUCUUUCGUUUCGGUCGAUGGGCACGUACGUACGUGCGUAGCAUUUCCAUAGUCAAAACUGGCGUCUUCCUCGCAUUCGGUGGAGACGAGGAUACAGAUAGAUACGCCUGGAUCUCUGAAACCAUGGGAGCGAAUCUGGUUUUGAACAUUAAUGAUACAUUGAUACGGCAUUACGGCGUGGCGUGAAAUUUACGUUGACUAGUAAUAAUGUACGUAUAAUGCACAUUUAUAUUAGGUAAGAUAUAUCUGUUGCACGAUGGUAUUUGGUAAGAUAUCAAUUAUUUUUACAUGGAAAUGAUAGGAUAUUAAUUACAUGCCAGAUUUCAAGGGAUAGCGUUGAGUCAAAAUAUGUUUAUAACCAAUGCCAGUGAUGGGUAAUUAGAGCGUUAAACGUGUUUGGUGCUCAACAUUGGAGCGAUUUGAACCGUUAGAUAACAUGAUUUGAUGGUCGGGAUGGUUUGGAUCUGCCCAUUUGGAUCUUUUUAUAUUGGUAUAGAUGCAACCAAAAAAAAGGCCAGGAGGUGGAAACCCAAUUUCUCUCUAUUUUCGGACCCAGUUUCCCCCCAAUCUAGAAGGUGGUGGAAACCACUCCACCACCUGUCUAGACAUAUAAGGACCCUUGGUGCCUUGGCCAACCCGACGUCCAUUAAGAAGCUAUCCACGAAGACGUGCUGGAGAAAGAGCUUUGAAAAACAUUCUCACGAAUAGCUUUCCUUUGGGCGUGUUAGAUUGCCCACAUGGUUAUGACUGUUCGAGUAAAUUCUUCACGUGUCAUGGAGUCCAUCAAGGAAAAGAGCCGUCGGUUUUGAAGAAUUGCAAUGUAGGUCAACGAUCAAUUCAUCCCUAGUGCCCACACAUAUCUCGGCAUCGCACAACUGAUUAGCGAGUGCCCCAUGAAUCUCCCGCGCCACAUAAUUCGCGGGUCUUUAUCGAAAAACAUAAUUCAUGGGUAAUACUUUUGGCCAUGUGUCUUUAGCUAGAACAUCUCGUGUUACAAGUGAAUAUUGUGCAAGCCUCCACAGAAACACCUUCGGCUUCGAAGGUACACACAUUUUUAUAAUUUUCUCCAGUGGCCCACAUCGCUGGUCGAUGAGCUUAGCCUCCCCUCUAGCCGUUUCUCCCACCGUUGCUUUGUUUUCGCAAGCAUCUGGUAAGCCGAACGACCGGUGAAGAUUACAAUCUUUUCAAAAUGCCAUGCCCAGAAAUCUUCACAUAGCGGGGCGCUAAUUGGGAUCCCCUUAUAAUGCCCACGUCCAUCAACAAAGAUUAUUGUCGAAGUCAGGAGCUCCUAUUCGGUGCUAGGCAGCAAGGAAGCUCCCCGGCGCACACACACCAACGCUAGUGGGCCGAUCCAUGUAGAUUGCACAUUUAUUUCCCCCGGUUCGCUAAAUUGCAUUUAAAAAACAAAAACAAAAUGAUAAAAUUCGCAAAAAAUUCAUGAAUCCAAAUAAGUUCACGUAUUUUGAAAAUAUUCAUGAAAUUAAAAAACGAUUUGAAAAAAAUCAUCAAAUUGGUAAAAAAGUUAAUGGAUUUGAAACAAACAUCAAAUGUGAAAUUUUUCAUCAUUACAAAAAGAUCAUUGAAUUUGAAAAUAGUUCACCAAUUUUGAAAGGUUCAUCGAUUUGAAAAAAAAUCAAAUUUGGAAAAUUUCAUCAUUACAAAAAAGAUCAUUGAACUUGAAAAUAGUUCACCAAUUUUGAAAAGUUCAACGAUUGGAAAAAAGGUCAUCAAAUUAUUUAAAAUGUUCAUAAAAAUUGGAAAAUUUCCAUCAAUGUGAAAAAAGUUCAUCAAAUUUGUUUUUUACAUUUUGAGGAAAAAUUAAAGAAAAAAGGAAAAAACAUGAAAAAUGUAACAAAAAAAGAAAGACAAAAAACCGGUCCAAAAAAACCCACAACAAAAGAAGAAGAAAAACGGCUGGAGAAACUAUACAAAACAAUAAAAGGAAAUAUAUUAUCAUGACGUGUCAUUUGCUGGGUUGGUUAGUAAACAUACGUUGGAGGUCGCCAGUUCGAAUCCCAGCCAUGCAUGUUUUUAGCAUAUUAAACCAGAAAAAAAAAGUGGAAUGGGCCGUCCUAACAAGGGGUAGGGGUGUGCGCCGGUUUGUCAAAUGAUCUACAACCGGCGCCUGAAGCGCUAAAUAGGAAACGCCGUCGAAGUCUCCCUCCAUUCCAAUGUGCCGACUAAGACAUGUCAAUAAAAUUAGGUAGCCUUUACAAGAUUAUGGGCCUCUAUAUUAGGGGAGAAAAAAAAUCUACUUAUAGACGCAACACUUUUAUACAAUGAGUACAGUGUACCCGGCCCAAACAGCGAGAUUCCAUUGGACCCAAAAUACGGAGGAGCCUCGCAAGUUCGUGACACACACCGGACGAGAAAAAACGGUGCCGGGCCGCCGCCCCUAAAAUAUCUCCGGGCCUCGCAAGGCGAGCUGCGGGAGCACGCAGACGAAUGGGCCUCUGACAGCGGACCCCACCCGACGGGAACACGUAAACCNNNNNNNNNNNNNNNNNNNNNNNNNNNNNNNNNNNNNNNNNNNNNNNNNNNNNNNNNNNNNNNNNNNNNNNNNNNNNNNNNNNNNNNNNNNNNNNNNNNNNNNNNNNNNNNNNNNNNNNNNNNNNNNNNNNNNNNNNNNNNNNNNNNNNNNNNNNNNNNNNNNNNNNNNNNNNNNNNNNNNNNNNNNNNNNNNNNNNNNNNNNNNNNNNNNNNNNNNNNNNNNNNNNNNNNNNNNNNNNNNNNNNNNNNNNNNNNNNNNNNNNNNNNNNNNNNNNNNNNNNNNNNNNNNNNNNNNNNNNNNNNNNNNNNNNNNNNNNNNNNNNNNNNNNNNNNNNNNNNNNNNNNNNNNNNNNNNNNNNNNNNNNNNNNNNNNNNNNNNNNNNNNNNNNNNNNNNNNNNNNNNNNNNNNNAACAAGAUCCAGCCACGGCUAAAAAGCUCCCCCUCCCCCACGUUUGGACGGAGCUCCCUUCCAUCUCUCCCCCACCCCUUUCUUCUUCCUCCCCACGCCCGCCGCCGCCCGGGACCUAGGGUUUCCUCGCCGCCGCCGCCCCCGCCGCCGAAUCGCCGCAGGAGGAGGAGAUGGGCACGCCGGAGACCUCGCGGGAGCCGUGCCCGGACCGCAUCCUGGACGACGUGGGCGGCGCGUUCGGGAUGGGGGCGGUGGGCGGCUCCGUCUUCCAUUUCCUCAAGGGCACCUACAACUCGCCCAACGGCGAGCGCCUGCUCGGCGGGGCCCAGCAGGUGCGCCUCAACGCGCCGCGCGUCGGCGGGAGCUUCGCCGUCUGGGGCGGCCUCUUCUCCGCCUUCGACUGCACCAUGGUCUUCGUGCGCCAGAAGGAGGACCCCUGGAACUCCAUCAUCGCCGGCGCCGCCACGGGCGGCUUCCUCUCCAUGCGCCAGGGUCCCGGCGCCGCCGGCCGCUCCGCGCUCAUGGGCGGCUGCCUCCUCGCGCUCAUCGAGGGCGCCGGCCUCAUGCUCAACCGCGUCCUCGCCGCGCCGCAGAACCUCCCGCCGCUCCCCACCGACGAUCCCAACCUGGCCGCCGCGAUGGCGGGGGGAGGCGUCGGCGGCUUCCCAGGCAUGCCCCAGCCACUCGUGCCCCCCGUGGAGGUCGGGAGCUCCAGCGGCGGGGGUAGUUGGUUCGGCGGCCUCUUCGGCAAGAAGGAGGAGGAGAAGAAGCCCAGCGGCGGCGUCGGCAAGUCGGAGAUAUUAGAGAGCUUUGACACGCCCAGCACUCCGAUACCAUCGUUCGACUACAAGUGAGAAAAAAAGGUGCGGUUUUUCUCUCCGAUCUGUAUUUUGGAUUCAGUUUCAGAUGUUUUCUCAGUUCGAUCCGGUUUCUCUCUUAGCUUAUUUAUUACUUGGUGUUGAGGCCGUCCGCGGUUAGGAGUCCAUGUCGUGUACAUCAAGAAGCCUUAUUACCUCCUUAUAUAUCAGGGACGAUCGACCGUGUUAUAUAUACUCUCGUUCUGAACCCCGGGAAGAUUUUAGUUCACCACAACGCAUCGAAUCUUCAGAUAGGGUUACGCAGCUAAUACUAUGUCGGCUCCUGUCUCCGAGAGAGAUCUCUUCGAGAGAGAACCGUGCCCAGGCCGCAUCAUUGAUGAUGCAGGCAGUGCUUUCGCCAUGGGUGCUGUCGGUGGUUCUGUCUAUCACUUUCUCAAGGGCCUUCGUAACUCGCCCAAUGGUGCGCGAAUUACUGGCGGCAUGCAGGCAGCUCGCAUGAACGCCCCUCAACUCGGGGGGAGCUUUGCUGUGUGGGGCACCCUAUUUUCCACCUUCCACUGCACCUCGGCCUACGUGCGCCGGAAGGAGGACCCCUGGAACUCCAUCAUAGGUGGCGCCACCACUGGAGGGGUUCUCUCCAUGCGGCAGGGCAUCAAAGCUUCUGGCCGCUCGGCACUCGCGGGCGGCUUUUUCCUCGCCCUCAUAGAGGGCGCCGGCCUCAUGGCCAACCGAUUCGCACCACAGAUGCUCCCGCCGCUCCCUGCUGAUGAUCCCAACAUGGCCGCCGCUAUCUCGACGGGAGGAGGUGGCUUCCCAGGCCUGCCUCAGCCUGUCGUGUCCCCUGCAGAGGUCCCGAGCUCAAGCAGUGGGGGUAGCUGGUUUGGCGGCCUCUUUGGCAAGAAGGAGGAGAAGAAGCCCAGCGGCAGUACUGGCAUGUCGGAGAUAUUAGAGAGCUUCGAGACGCCCAGCCCUCCGAUACCAUCGUUUGAGUACAAGUGAAGGAAGGUGCGGUGUUUGUUUGACUGCUCUGAUCUGUAUUUUGGAUUUAAUUCAGAAAGGUUGUUGUUUUUAAGUUCGAUCCACUCCUUGUUUCUGAUACUUUACCCGACGAGGUGGCAAUGAUUUAUUGAGGUGUCUGUUCUAAAUGAUUCUGCCGCUGAGUUUUUCUUGCUAAUGCAACAUGCCACUUUAUUUACUUGUCCAUGCCGUAUAAUCAAGAAGCUUUAUUAGCUUCCAAUUACAGAAUUCAAUUACAGAACAUGAUUGAUUGUCGUAUAUAGCUGCUGUGGUUUUAUUUCAUCACUCUGAGCUCCGAGGAAGCUUUUGUGGUUAAUUAUAUUCCGCUGAGUUCUACCUCCUACUUCCACCACAAAGCACUAAAUCUUCAGGUAGGGUCACACGACAGAUACUAUGUGUACCUUUCACCAUGGGUUGUGUGACCCUACCUGAAGAUAAUUAACGGACCCAUUCCCAGACCAUAUUUUUGAUGAUGCAGCGCCAUGGGUUGUGGGAGGUUCUGCCUUCCAUUUUCUCAAGGCUGCAUGUCCUCUAGACUGUAAAAUAGCUUUAUGUGAUCUACGAGUAGUUCAGUUCAGUACGUAGGUUUGUGGACUUUCAAUGUUGGUUUAUUAGUGGUGAGUUGUUCUAUGGCUGUCCGUUUAUAAGCUGGUUGUUCUUCUGGCCAAUGAAACAUCUCAAAAUAAAGCAUUUGCAUGUAUCAAAAUUAUUUUAGAGCUUGUUAUGUUCUGUAUGGACAUGAGAAUAAAUCUGUCAAGAAUAUUAGGCCUGGUUUGCUUUUAUCAUGUUGUCCUACUCCAUUUGAGAACUCAUAAAUCUGUGUUUCGUUGUGAUAGGGAACAUGGUAAAUAUUCCUUUUUUAUCUAGUCCUGGUUAUGGAUGGGCUGCAUUGGCCAUUUACUUGGACUGAAUUAUUUCUUCUGACAGACAGAAGAAAAAAAUGUUCUAUCUGGCUUACAAAAUUGACAUUCCUGUUGACGUGAAUGCAGUUUUCUUAACCAAUAUCUUGCUACAUGCUUACCUUUUUAUAUGAUGUUAGGGACUGAUUGUGCCUCUUAGCAUCUGAAAUCAUGUCCCGAACAUGCCCCUCGACUGCCUAGCCUAACUUGUUAUUUGUUAAUAAGAUAUAUAAAUUCCAUAUUGUACUUACUGGGUCAAUAAAAUCUUAUGCAAGUAGCAGAUACGGCUCCCAUGGAUUUGAAGAUAUAAAGUAGAUUUUGGUUUCAAGCUGUUUCGAUGCAAAUAUGGAAGUACUACACAUGAUUUUAGCUUAUUUUUUCCCGGUUAUCAGGGAUCGGUUAUUUCAGUGCAGUGUUUUCACAAUUCUUUAUCCAUGGUCCUUGUUCUUCAACUGUACAUUUAGGAUGCCACCUUGGAACUUAAAAAGAAACAAGCUGCUGUAAGGUCAAGUGCCCCAGGAAUGCCUGAGUCAUGCACCUCUGUAUGCUCAUGUGUCUAUAUUGCUCAAGUUCUGUUGGACAUUUUACUAGUGAAUGACUCUAAUUAUAUAUGGAACUAAGAGAAGGUCUCCAUCGUUUUGUCUAAUCUAUCGAGAUGUAUGUUAGACAAUAUCCGUCAUAUGCUUUUUAGUUCCGUCCUCUCUGUUUGAUGUGAUGUUAAACUAUGGCGUGCUUUUGUUGCGCAGCGUGCAGGUUCAUGUGGUUUGGUUAUUAUGUUGUUGCGCCGAUUUAGCUCGGUUUUUCCAUGCUUGCAUGCUCCAUGAGUGUGUGUGACAAUUUGUUCCUACUUCCUGCAGGUAGCUGAUGGCGCCGCCGAUGCGCAGCGGCGCUCGACCCACAGGUAGUAGUCUGAAGCUGGGAGUGCAAUCUACUUCCAUCUUGGAGGAGAGGUAGACGAAGUGACGCUUGCGCAGCUCAACUUCUAGUACUGUUAUCUAUGGGCCGACCAGUCGCUGGGAAAAGGUUUUGGAUUAUUAGUCUAUUGUACGCGAGCUUUUUAAACUUUGCAUGUUCUUGUUGUUGCCGUGGUAGCGACGGUAAUAAUGCCUAUAGCGUCAUAUGGUGCAGAUGUACUGCUGCGCUUGAAAAGCCUUCAAUUAAAAUUACGCCUCUGUCUGUCUGUCUUGCUUCUGGUGUGACAUCAGGGUUCUUCUUCUGCCUUCCGGUUUCGAUGUCUGCAGUAGUAAGCACAUUGCUUACCGAUGGUUUGGUACCAACAUGGUGAGCUAACCAGUUUUGUGGAACUGCUGAUGUGCCCUAGGCCCUAGCCGACGGAUCGGUCCGAUUGGUGGUUCGGUCGGAUUCUUCGGUCGCGCUUUCCAGCCUAUGGUCAUCUGGCUCGUGAGAUCGGGAGGUUAUCUAUAGUGAGGCAGUUCGUUCCCUGAAGUUCUCAAUUCUGCAUAUAGGGCAUCCACUGAACUCCUUUCAAGUCAGCCGCUAUCCAUGUUGUCAGAUCUGCAUAUAGGAACAUCACAUGCAGUGAAAUCCUGGUUGUUGAAAAUCCUAUAAUUUCUCUCCCUGUGCUGGUUGGUGGCGGCGCUGCGAUGGCUCGGUCAAGAUGGAGUCUUGCGAGCAGCGAGCUUUCGGUCAUCCCUGUGCGGCGUGGAGAGCGGCGGUGCUUUCCUGGUGAUGCCGGCCUGGGAUUUCUCCGUGGAGAGGCGGGUCUGAUUGUCGCAAGGUCGUUCCUUGGAGUGGGUGACGGCCGUUGCGGGCAGUCCUGGACCUGGCCGGAGGUGCUGGUUGGCUGUGGACCCUCGUGCAAGCUGGGAGUGGAUGUGUGGCCGCGGUUUCCCUGCCGGGUGGUCGGUCGUUGGUCCUCGGCUAUGCAGCUACUUCGGCAAGUGCUGUGGUGGCGGCGGUGUGAGGCUUCUUGGCAGUGCUACCAAUCCCAUGGAGGCGUGGCGAUGGGCGAAGCGCGGAUGAAAAUUUUGCACGGCUUCUGCCGGGCCGGCGGUGAUGGCAUCUGUGGAUGUCAUUCCCCUCCUUGGAGGCAUCGUCGAGCGUGUUCGCCUCAUCCCUCGCGCUCUCGGUGUUGGUGGAUGUCUCCGGGUGAAAGCCUAGAUUCGAUGUUCUGAUUGGCACGAUGGCGGUGUCCUCGACGCCGCUCCUCUGUUGGGAGCAUUGUGUUUGGAGACACGGCUGGUUCCUCGUUGCUCUCCUCCGGUGUUCGCCGCUAUCCUUUUCUGAUCUUUAGUGGCGCUAUGUACGUUGGUCGUUGGUGAAUCCAAGGCGGCGUCUUCCCGGAUUGGAUCGAGUCCUGCCAUUCAUCUGCCACUUUCUCUUAGGCGCUCAGGGUGGAUGGUGCGUCGACAAGAGAAGUUCUGUGGAAGUGUGGUCUUCGGAGGUGUCCGGCGUCGAUCGAGACGCGGUGCUGUGUAUCAGUUUAGGAUAGGCUUUUUGCAUAGUAGCUUGCCUAGCGGUGGUGUUUGUUUGUGGUCUUGUCGGUGUGGUGUUCGUGCUACACUCGUUGUUCGUAUCGAGCGGUAGCUUUCUUAUAACUAAAUUCUGCCUUCUAUAAAGCUAUGGUACGCCUAGGCGUACU
rnacentral:lncRNA from 1 species